rnacentral:lncRNA from 1 species
GAUGUCAAUCGACCAACCUACGAUGCGAUCCGAGCCCACGACAAGGAUUUCUACGCCGCGCUCACCAAGACUGGAUUCAUGCUCGACUUUGGCGACGAUGACUCGGGGCUCUUCAUGAAGUACCUCCGCCGUGGAUCCGGCUACUACAUCGACGUGGGCGCAUCCCAGCUGUUGAUCGACGGCGAGAUCAAGCUCCGCAGUGGCGUCACCAUCGCGUCGCUCAAGCCGAGCUCGGUGGUGCUGAGCGACGGUACGGAGAUCGCGGCCGAUGUGGUGAUUCUGGCCACGGGGUACGGAUCCAUGAACCAAUGGGCCGCGAAGCUAAUCUCCCAGGAGGUGGCGGAUCGCGUGGGCAAGUGUUGGGGGCUGGGAUCGAACACGCGCAAGGAUCCCGGGCCGUGGGAGGGGGAGCUCCGGAAUAUGUGGAAGCCCACCGCGCAGGAAGGGCUGUGGUUCCAUGGUGGGAAUCUCCACCAGGCUCGUCACUACUCGCUCUAUCUGGCGCUACAGCUCAAGGCGAGGAUGGAGGGAAUCACGACCCCGGUGUAUGGCAUGCCCAAGGUCCACCACCUCAGUUAAGUCAAAUCAACUAGUCAAAUUUGUCAAUGAUAGUCAAACAUUUAAAAUUUGAAAAAAGUAAUCCGGUAUGAUCAGCUUCUUAGGUUUUGCUAGCGCCCGUGGUUGCAGGGCGCAGCGCACAUCUGAAGCAUCACUUCCUGGGGAACGAUGCUCGUCCCACAGCAAUCAACGUUACGCAGCGGAUUUUUGUCAGCUGCAAGAGACGAGGAGCACUCACUGGAGGGAUUGCGGCCAGGCCGGAAUCAUGCAGAUGAAGCUGAAUUAGUGGCAUCGCUUCUUAUCCACUACUUCUGGCGCUAAGACGAAUUAUUUUCCAUUAAACAAAGUUUAGGUGGAUCUUUUUGUUGGCAGUUGUACCAUCAGGAAAAAAAGGAAAGUUGAAUCUAGUUCUUUGUUUCCUUGAUUGGGAUGAGCUAGAGAAAGAAGACAAAGAGUACACAUGAUAUACUCAUAACUCCCCUUAUAUAUAAAGAAAUAUAUAACAUAUAACACAGCUCUUCAACUGAUUUGGAGGGCAGUAACAGAGCAAGCAUAUUAGUGAGCACCUCAUCAAAGGUUUUGGUUGUGACAUGCCCAAAAGCAACAAGCUUGAACAGGCACAAGUCAAUUUAAAAGCACUAUUAGAGAGUUACUUCAAAACUAGUUUUUAAACCUCAUUAUCCCUACUAUACUUUUGGUACCCCCCCUCCACAGAUCCACCGUGAGAUAGGAUGUGCAGUUCCCCAAAGAGGAGAAAUAUUUUAGCUCACCAGAUCCAGCGCGGGGGUAGAAGGCGCUGAAUUUGCCUUCCAAUUCUAGUUUCUUACCAGACAAGGAAAUGGCCAGGCCUCGCACGAAUUUCUGAACCGCUGGAACGAUCGCCAGCGCUCCCAGGACGUGCGAGAAUUUUUAAAGAGACCCCUCGCGAAUCAAGACCCACCAUAAAUCCAAAGUAAGCUGAGCAUAGGCUGGAUAUCCAGAUCUAGGGCUGGGCGAUUUAGGAGGAGAAAGGGUCGCUAUGGCGAGUGAUGAGGAUUUUGUGGUUCUUCUCAGGGCCAAAGGGCCAGAUCUACCAAAGGGAGUUCUUGAUCGAGAUGGUGAGGGUGUGGAAUACUCGUUCGUGGGGCCUCGGCGCUAUGCAGAUGGAAAAUCUCUCUUGGAGUACUUAGGCGAUGGGCAGUAUUACGUUGCCAGGGAACAUCAGGGGAGGUAUGGAUGGCAGGAGCUAAUAGCGGAGCUACAGCGUGUGCCAAGAGUUGCGGAUUGUAUCCAUGUCUUCGAAAAAGGUAUAACGUCUUUGUGUUUCUUUUGAUCUUAGAGGGGAUCUUGGCUUAUUUUGUUGUUGGAAAUCUGAUGUUCUUCUAACGCACAGGUAAGAUUGGAGCGUGGCUAUCGCUGUGGUGCCUUGAUCUUUUGUCUGACUGCAUCGUUUGUCGUUCCUUCUAAACACUAUCUUUUGUGAUUUUGCAGUGGCGAGAAGAGAGCCCAUUACCAAAGGUACUGAACGUCUGUUCAGUAGCGUCCUUUAUCAAUACCGUUUGUUUGUUUUGCAGGGCUUCUUCAGAAGUUUGGAGAUAAACUCUCCUCUGUCGUUGCUGUCGUCCAACGCACAGGUAGGAUUAUUUUUGUCUGAUUGCGGUUUGUCUAAACUGUUUUUUAAAAUUUUUUUAUUUUGCAGUGAGAAGCAAGCCCAUUACUAAAGGUAUUGAACGCGUGUUUGUCCUUUAUCAAUAGCAUUUGUUGUGCAGAUGUUGUGGAAGCUAUACUACAGACGUUUGGCGAUGACCUCUCAGACAGCAUUUCCAGCAUGACCCCUGCGCACGCGUUCAAAAGAAAGUUCUCGCUCACCAAGGUUCCAAUUUGCCAGAUAAACGUUUCGGGACGUUGGCAACCGAGUCUUUUGUGGCAUGGUCUGGAGCAGCCUCUUGGUUCUAGAGAUAUUCUUUCAUUGUUGAGAAUCAGCAACCCCAGUCUUUUGAUUCUAUUCGACGUCUCCGGAGCCGGAAAGACGCGUUGCUUAUACGAGAUUGCGGCACAGCAGACCUGUCUUUACUUCACUGGCGUGUGUUCCGGUUCUCCUACUGCUGAUGGCUCCCGGGACCUGUUGGUCGUGUCCGAGACACUGCAGAGGCUGUAUCCAACAGGUCCGAUUCCAGUUUCAUCCCUCAAGACCUGUUUGAGGGCGGUGCUCCUGUCAAGGCUUUUCAUUCACCGCAAAUGUGACGACCUCCUCAAGCCACUGAGCAAUUUGACAUUUCUUUUCAAGCAGGUUAUGCACCAGCAGCUCAACUAUACUCAGGCUGACCCUUGGGCCCAUUUAACCGGGUGCAUCUUGGCGCUGGCGACGUCAGUUGAUGAUCUUCCUGCAUUGGAGUCCGUGUUGAGCAAGAUGCUCCGUGCGUACACCUGGGACUGGCCGAUUAUUUUGGACGAGUGCCAGGAGGUGAACAGAUAUCUGAAAGACAGGUUCAUGGCAGGAGAUGGGGAGACGGGCAGCCUUAGACGAUCAAUGCUUGAUAAGUUUGUUAUUGCUCUCCAGGAUGCUGGGUUCAACAACAAAGUAAUCUUUGCUGGCACUGGGAGAUCGCUGUAUCAUGUGGCCACUCACAUCUCCGAGGUAUAUUGUAUGCGUUCCUGCGUUUUAUGGCUAAUGUUUGUGUCCAUAGACUAUGAAAUUCCGUGUGAGCAUCUAUUGGUAUACAACCUUUGGCGAGUUUCGGGAUGGUCAGGCCCUGCGGCAAUAUGCUAGCAACAUAUUGGAGGAUUGCAGCAUCAUUGACUUUGAGAGGCUCGGGGUGCUGUACAGAGGAAGAUAUCGGACGUUUGUUACUGCUCUUGAGCAGUAUAUCCUUUUUAACCCGCCUGCAACCGCAGCUACAGAGUUUUUCUUGAAUUAUGCCAAAGAGACAACAUCCAUGAGGUAUGUGAAAUUUCGCCAAAAGCGGCAGAGCUUCUCGACUGAUGAUUGGAAUGUUACAGGGGUGUAUCUUGGACGGGACCAAGCAAGAGGAUAAGUCCUGCAGAUAUUAUGAACACAGUGAACAGGACAGUGCUUGAUGAUGUCUACCGAUUUUUUUCAGGAGUCCCGAGUGAUGAACUGGCGGCAGUGAAGGCUCUAGUUCAAUCAGUUGUUGCGAACCACUUCUUCGGUACAGGAAAGAUGGUCGUGAUGAAUCCAACGUUAUCACUGGUGGAGUUUGGACUUGGGAGAGUCCAGUAUAAAGGACACAGGCUGAUGAAGUGGAUGUAUCAACAUCAAGACGGAAUUAUUGGCCAUUCUGACACAAGUGAAAAAUGCCGAGCUGUAGAGAUCUUCGAGCCGCUGGUCUGUCGUGCCCUGUGGCACUAUUAUCAGGAAAAUUCCUCCUUGCAACGGAUCCAGCAGCAUCGUUUUCUGGAGAAGGCCGAAAUAUAUGCCAGUGCUACAGGGGAGGUUUAUGAAACUGCAGUUGCUGAGAUGAUUGGGGAGCACUUAGAUGGAAGGUGUCUGGCCGACCUUUUCUCAUCGUGGAACACGGAGCCGAUUCCGUCCAUCUACAACAACACUGCAACUCUUGCUAGGCCGAAGAUUGAUAACCAGAACCUCAUCGGGACAGAGACGGAGGACUUUCGAUUAAUCGAUUGGAUAAACAGCGUUACUAGUGGUAAAGACAACUUCUUUACUUUCUUUUCGACAGGCAUGAAUAAGACUUGCGGGCCAGAUAUAUGGUGGUUUCUGACAGUUACGGAAGUGGCAAAACCGGCUGUAGGUGAGCACGCAGACAAGCUUCAAUGCACCGGUGUGCCAGUGACAACUUUCAUCAUAUGUGCAGCGCAAUUGAAGACUCUCCAGAAAAUGGCAAUGGGUGACUAUGUGUCUUCGUUGGAUUUCAACAAGCUCUUUUUGCACAAGGGUGGUCAAGGAUAUAAAUUAGUUGUGAAGAGAAAAGAGGAUGAGGAAGGUGCGAAGCGAGUGAGGGAACUUGCAAGGUUUGGGUGUCUCAAGCUUGUGGUGAUGACAGAUUUUGUAGAUUUGAUGAAGUUCCAGCCAAAGGUUCAACACGCAGCAAAGUUGGAAAAAUUGAACACACAUUGUGAACAGGAACAAAUUUCGGCAUUACUUGGGGUUAUUGAUGGUACAAACAUUUGCAUGUUUGACGAGGAAUGGUUGAUUGACAGUGUUAAGCAAUGUAAUUGAAUAAAAAUCUUUCUUUCUUUUAAGGUAUAUCUAACUAUUACUUAUUUUGCAUAAUAUUGGACAUUAAAAAUGUGGACAUAAAAACUAAAGCUGGUGUUCUUGGAAAUUAGAGCAAAGAAAACCACUUGGAAUUCAACACAAGAAUUGAAAGUUGAGCUUGGACAUCAAUCCCAAAGAGGAGCUUGCAAAGAACAAAGUUGCAUUUUCAAUGGUGAUCUUGCAUCUGAAGCAUUCUAGAUUAGGAAUGUGUCUACAAUGUUUUCUUCAUCACCUAACUUAGUAUGAAGAGGUUGGUGUUUUCAAGGCACAAAAGGUGGUGAUACUCAAGGGAGAUUUGAGGAUGACCAUAUGGUUUCAUUGCCAAUGAAAUACUCCUUUAUCCCCUCCUUGAAGGAAAAGAAAAUUUGAAACACUAGCUCUAUUUGGACUAGUUAUGUUGUUUUUACCUUAUUACCUAUAUUCACCCUCACUCCAUUAUCAUAUUUGUUAAGGUUAAAUAUUCUGUUUGGACUAACUAUGGUUGUCUUCACUCCAGAAUUUAUAUAAUUCAUCCUCACUUAACUACUAUAUUUUCUUGUCCAAGAGUCUAACCCCAAAGAUAAAGUGUAUCCAUCCUUUCUAACCCUUCCUUCAAAAUAUAAAAAGUUUGAAGCAUUAAGGCAAAGAGGAGAAAGUGAGAAAAUUGAGAAAGAAACAUUGAGAAAGAAAAAAAGUGGAUAAAGACGCAUUAAAAAAGGAAUUUUUAAAAGAAAAAAUGAGAAAUAAAAAGAAGGAAAUAUGAAAGCCUGAAGAAUAGGGAACCUAUUAUAAAUACUUCACACCACAAGCUAAGUAGGAGAUUCAUACUGUUGAAACUCCUCAAUACACAACUCAAUAGUUAAAAUGGAAAAAUCAAUAGAAAAGUCCACACUUUCAAUAAAACAUAUAAAUUCCUUAACAACAACGUUUAAACAAAAAGUUUUCAAUAGCACUUAUAAUUGGGAACAUGCACUCAAUUUGAAACUUUGGUAAAAGUGACUCAACCUUUGGAAUAAAUUCAAUAAAAUAAAAGCAAGAUUCUUAAUCUCAUGCAUAUGCUCAAUAUCCGAAGUAGUAUAAGGAAGACAAAAUACGCUCAACUCAACACUAAAUUAAGAGUGAGAAUCAUAAGUCACAAAUGAUCAAUAUGCUAGGAAAAUGAAAUAUUACAAUUGAGAAGGAAACACUAGGAACAUGAGAAGGUGGUUUAUGCCAAGAAAUAAAAAAAGGUUGGGAAAGAGCAUAAAGCAAAGAGAAAGGAUCAAGUGGCAAAUUAAAUAAUUAACACCUACUCUAUAAAAUCUUUAACUCAUCUCUUAAGCUAUUCUCAAAGUAAUCAAAUUCCUUGUUAGUAGAAAUCCACUUAAGCUCAUAAAUAGCAUCUUUUUAUAAUCUUAAUCCUCAAACAUUCUCCAAAAAAUGGAUUUCAUCAUUCAUUGCUUUCUAAUUGAUGUCACAACACUCUAUAUUACUAGGAGACAGCAAGACAUUGAGAAUCAGAGAAGCUAUGUAAUCAUGUCCUAUAAAAGCUGAACAUGGCAAUACACCAAGGAUUGAAGCAGCACUAAUUGGAUCAUGUUAUUUGGCACCAAAAGCUUGAUCUAAAAAGGAUAUAACCACAAAAAUAACAUUUUUGGGUGAUAACAACAACAUAUCAUCUAUAAUCUUGGAUGACAAACUCCUAAAUCAAUAAUAGCAUGGCAUCGUAGAAGAAGAGAAUGCAAUGAAGAUAAAAAAAAAGAAUAGAUUAGAUAGUUACAAUCCUAGAUCUGAGAAAAAGCUAAUGUAGAUCUAUCUACAUUAGCUUUUUCUCAGAUCUAGGAUUGUAACUAUUGUAUCCAAAAGUGAAAGAACAAAAAAUAUGAUCUUGAAAAUUGAGGAAAACACUAUUGAAAAGCUUUGCUCUCUAGGAUAAAUUGCAAUCCCCCUCACUUGCACCAAUGUGAGUGCUCAAAAUAUGGAAUAAGUAUAUCAAUUGUGAUUUAGACCCCUUGGACAAUAUAAUACUAUAAUUAGUGGAUUAUCUAUGCAAAGUAAAACAUUAAUAUACAUACAUAUAUAUUUAUAGACCUUACAAUACCUAAUUCUUACUAAAUAAUUUAAAAUUUGAAAGUGUAGAAGAAAAAGAGUGAUUUGUAAGGAAAAUAGGCUAUCUCAAUUGAUUUUAUUAUGCCAAGCAUAAUGUCAAACUCCCACUCCUUGAUAAACCAUCUACUAUGGGAACUCACUUACAGUAGAGUCAUUAGAAGAUUGCAACUGUGAUUAAUUCCUUGGCCUUAGACCAAAAGAGCUUCGUGCAUUAUAUGCAUCAUACAAUACCUCAAGCAGCCAAAAAAGAAAUACUUGGGGUUCAUCACCCUAGGGGAUUUUGAUGUUCCAAUGUAAAUUGCUUAACAAUCUAGCUCAUGGUCCACAAGUUCUGGGUAGCUAAACUCACACAAUUAAAUUGUUGUUAUGUUGGGGAAGGAUCCAUCCUUGUUAUGAUUCGGCAUUAAAAGACAAAGAUCUAGUCUUCUUAAACUAUGCUAUGCUUCUCUUUUAAGUUUCUCACCACCUAACCACCCCCAAACUAACUCAAAAGCUCCACUACACCACUACAGGUUAAGUUCGUUACCCUACUGAAGACCUUAAUAUACCCUUGUGUUAUGAUCCAUUGUGAAAAAACAAAGAACUAAUCUCCCUAGACUAUGCUAUGCCUUUUCUUGAGGUUUUUUACCACCCAACUCCUCAAAAGCUCCAUUACGCCACCAUUCCAUUAUGAGCCCUCAGGUAAGUUUAGUUCCUUACUUUAAUAUGCCUUAAUAUACCCUUGAGCUUCUUUUUAACUGACAUUGACCAUGUGGUCAAAGCUCGUGCCUAACAAUUCUUCCCCCCUAACAAAGUCCUUGUCCCAAGGACGAUGUCCAUUUUCUACAGCCAUAUACAUCAAAGAGGCAUUAUGCCCAUCACUCCAGGAUAGUAUACCUUUCAAUUGGCUGAUAUAAAAUACCAAAUAUAUUGGUAGCCGCAUCUGAUAAGUCACCUUAUCAAUGCACUCCAAUGAGAAAGUUUAUCACUCUUCCCAUUCCACAAAGGCACUAAAGUGUUCUACCGCUCAUUUGACGAAAAGAUCAUUGGCACAAAAACGAUAUCACACACCUUAUAUUCCCGAAAUUGGCGAUGUUCAUUAGCAAACUUCUCCACUCUAUCCCUUUAUCCUAUGGCGAUUUACCAUAGGAUACCACCACGAAGCGGAACCUAAACCCUCUUUGUGCCACGUGACAGAUGCCACGUGUCACAUACCACGUGUCCAUAGGAACCCGAGGUUCAGGGCCUUGGGCCACUGAACGAAGGAACGGUGCCAAACUCCCAAGCGUGACGCCAAGGAGUGAUGGAACCGGACCAUGGAGCAACUCCCGAGCAUAUAGCCCAAGGAGCGAAGGGACAGGAGCCCGGAGCGACUUGGAAUAGUCCUGGAGCAACCAACAUCCCAAUGCCAAGACCAGCACGCAAAACGGAGCCAAACAAAGUCUGGCGCUAUUUCGGCAUACCGGUGGCCUAACACGAGGAUAUGGGUACUCCACCAGCUAGCAUGGAAUGGAACUUGGGCUUAGACCCAAGCCGGACGCAAAACAAGGACAGGCACGCAAGCGGGAGCUAGACUAUGCCUCAGGUUGGUCGGCCAUGCCCGACCUACCCACUAUCCCUACUAUACAUUUGGAACCUCCCAUAGCCCCCCCCCCUUGAGGAACACAUGCUUUGGGCUUUCACCCCAAGCCUCCCUUAGUAUCAGGAGUUAGUCUCAGGGACAAACUCGAAACUUACUAAAUAUGGAAUGUCCUUAGAUUGCGAAUUUGGACACGGGACGAACACCAUUGUGUUCAGGUCGAUCUCUACAUUCCGUAGAUAUGCCAAAUGAGCAAAUCUGGACACUUUCCAUAAAUAGCAUUUGGGACCGAAUGAGACUAACACAAAGGGCAUGAUAGCGAGGGUGUUUGGCAGACACGGUAAGCUAUCAUCCAGCGAUAUUGAGGGACUAAUCUCAAUACGCGUGAGUUCUUGCCAAGCCAGUGCAAGACAGAGCAAAAGAGAACUAAGAGCCAGGCUGAGAAUGCUCAGCUAGAAACACAUAGGAGUUCCUACCUUAUGUUCAUCUGGCUAAGUACAGAUGCAAAGCCCAGUAAGCUAACACUUGGACAAGAGGGGCUAAUAAAGGGAACCAGCAAUACCGACCUCCUGCCAUCAUGGCAGUAAGGUAAGAGUGUCCGUAAGGACUAGCCGACAGGUAACUUUCAAUACCCGAAGUCACAUUCGCGACACUCUCCCCCCCUUGGGAAAAUCGACGUCCUCAUCGAUGCAUACUCGAGUCUAGAAUACCGCCAAGGAAACAACUCCAAAAAAAGUUCACGGUACUCACACUAUGUGAGAAAUGCACCAACUUAAAUGAGUUAGGGAGCAACCUCUUUGUCUAACGCGGAUGUGCUACCAGCUCAGACACCUUCCGGCCGUCGCCGACAAGGAAAUGACCAACGGAGUCAGCCACCCUUGCUGCUCUGAGAGUCACCCAGCUUACAAAAGUGUGAUAUGCCCUGCCCGCGGGAACAUAGAGAGAGAAGCCAGAGGCCCCAACCCUCCUAAGCAAAGAAACCAAACCCGUCGGUAAGGUUUAGAUAGACUACUGUAAACAGGCAGUUAGAGUUGUUUACACAGUCACGCCCUUUCAACGGACUAAGGAACAUCGACAGAGAGGCGGGUUAUGUGACCAGUCGACAGUAGCUACCCCAUAACGAGAGAUUUCACCAUGCACACGAAGUGCCGAAGCCAGUCUGCCUAUACUGGCCCAAACUCAAAGAUCAAUAUAUGAACUAUAUCAAAGUCAUAAACAAUGAUAUCUUAGAGAUUUAAUUAUCAGUGAAUAAAGCUUAAAUUAGAACACAAAGUAUUCCAAGUAAGUUAUCAUCCGAUAAACCAGUAUGAGAGUAUAAAAGUCACCAAGAUCAUCAUAAUUGGUAAACAUAGGAAUGACCAUCCAACAAAAUUCAAUAGCAAGUAUAUCAUCAAGGAAACUCAAUGAUGAAACUUAACUAUCGAAAAUGGUAGAUAGAAUGCCAAACAACUUACGAAAGAUAACUCACAGAACACAGAGUAUCAUUGACUGGCAAACAGAAUGCUCGCGAAUGUAUCACCUAAAGAUAAUAACAUUCCAAUUUAUCAGAAUGAACUCGAGCAAUAAUCCACAAAACAGAAUGAAUGGGGUAAGACCAACAAACACUCAUUCAUGCCAACUAUCGCACUCGCCAAUCUGAAUAGAUCCUGGUCAAUAAUACCAAGGAACUCAAGUUGCCUAAGCAAGUGUCAGCAACAUCCUAUCGAUAUCUCAAACCCAAGAGACCAAUCUAGAGCAAACCACAAAGAACAUGUGGUAUUGCAAAAAGCCAUAAGCCAUCAAAGAGAAUAACUAACCAUCAUGAAAGAUCAUCAAUCAUCCCAUCAAUAAAGAGAUGCAUAAUCAUCGUUUUGUAAGCAACCAAAGGGAACGACUCGAGAGACGGUCCAUGGGGUUCAAAUAUAGAGGGAAAAGGCCCAUGAACAAGAGUGCACCCCCUUUUCUAAUCGGUUAAGGGUCUUGGGAUAGUUGGAGUUAAGCGUCCUUGGGUUUGAAUAGUACUGGGAUGGGUGACCUCCUGGGAAGUCCAAACUCAGGAGCUUACAUUUAGUAUUAGAGGGGUCUCGGGUCCGACUCUGUUGGUUGGCUAGGGGAAUCGCACCACAUGUUGAUUGACAUCUGGCUGGUCCAGUUUGCUCCCACUGGGCUCGACCCGAGGGGUAGGGUGUCAAGAGAGCGGGGCUCUCGGGAGAGCUGCGGCUCUCAGCUUCCGUUCACGAGGGCGUGAAUUUGCAGGGAAGCAUGGUGGAUUGUAAGCAACCAAAGGGAACGACUCGAGAGACGGUCCAUGGGGUUCAAAAGAGGGAAAGGGCCCAUGAACAAGAGUGCACCCCCUUUUCUAAUCAGUUAAGGGUCUUGGGAUAGUUGGAGUUAAGCGUCCUUGGGUUUGAAUAGUACUGGGAUGGGUGACCUCCCGGGAAGUCCAAACUCAUGAGCUUACACGUUUAAGAAGGAAUCCACCAUCCCGAAGAACGGCAAACCAUUCUAUAUCAACAAUAAUCAAGCAAAACUUUUUGACAAGGAUAAUCAACUAUCCUAGAUGAUAGUCAAUCAUCACCAAUGAUUGCUAGAUGCAAAUACUAACUUUAACAGCGAAGCUAAAGAGCCAAAAAUGCCUUCUCCCCAACAACUUUUAACAAAUGGAACAAUGAGCAUAAUAAACUCAAAGGACCAAAAGUUUGAAGAAGCCUAUAGCCAAGUCUUGCCUAACAAUGAUCACAAGUCUCGCACGAACUAACUUCAAUGUUAAAGAAGAAAUCAUGGUAGAACCACAAUAUCCCCUUCAAUACAUCCAUAAGCUAAACUUCAUAAUGCGAAAGCUAAUGAAGAGCAUGUCUGCAUCAAUCCAAAAGCCAAGCAUAACGAAGUUAUGCUCAACAAGUGAUCAUCUAAUCGAUCCUCCAUGAAUCCAUCUAUAACAAGACGUAGCUCACAUCGUAACAAGCAGAAGGGGAAUCAUCAAUGAUCAAUAUAUUCCAAUUCAAACCCAAUAAGGAUUCAAAAUUUCCAAUAUUGAUCACUAACUCUUUUGUUUGUAGAGUUAGCAUAGUCCAUGACUGAAUCACUUUUCAAGGACAAGCUUAAAGCUCAACCCUUACUAAACAAACUCAUCGAGAAUACAACUAACUUAACUUGCCACUCAGUUCAUUUAAACGUCAACACAGUUGCUAACUAGCAAAUGCAUGAAUGCUAACAACACAAAGCUAAAGCCAAAUCAUCAACAUUUUUCAUCAAGACUAAUGAAACUCAAUAUCAAUCCUAAGGAAAGACAUUUCAUUUCACUCAAGUCUCAAUAUCAAUAAUAUUAAUGACAAGGCAUCACUUCAAUGCCAUCAACAUCAGGACAAAGCUAGAAGAAAGCAAGAGUGAAUCACCACUCGGAGCUUUCCAGCAACCAAGCUAACCAAAGGCGAAGAUACUAUACUUAGUAUCCGAGACCAAUCCUUUAGCAAAACUCAGUGACAAAUAACACAUCAUCAAGGAGUGAAUCACCACAUCCAAGACUCAAUGAAAUCCAACACUAUAGACCAAACGUAACUAAAUGAUAUCAACAAAGGAAUUGAUAUGCCAACAUGGAAAAACCAUGUUAGCCUAAUGACACGAUCCUCCGCAACACCAUCUGGUAAAGCAAGCCCACCACUGCUAAAUCAUCAUCGAGCAAAGCAAGUGUCAACGGUCCUUGAUGAAGUCUACAAGUAAUCACUAGUCGCAAAGCAACUAACAAUCACUCCUCAACUUGCGUUCACAAGACUCAACACUAAACUCAUAUCAUCAAGUCAUAUACUCAUCCAAUAUGAACGUAAUACCUCAUGUACGAGAUAAAAGUUCAUAGACAAGCACAAACUAAAUGACCACUCGAAUCCAACUCAACCGCAAUAAGCUCACUAAUGCAUUUAGUCAAUAGUUCUGAGCAUGCCUUGAAGAGGCUAGCUAUGCAUGAUCAACACUCAGUCGAAACUAAAGUGAAGACCAUGAGAUGGACUCAUAUUGGUACACAACCUCCUCAUAGACAAAGCUAUAGUAUGGGUACCAACAUCUCAGCUUGCAAACAACUAAGUUGGACAUCACCAUCCUCAGCCAAGGCGCAGGGCCACCAAGACCAAGUCAAGAUCAGUGAGAGCUCACUACUCUCAUAGAGUCUAACAUAAUGCAAGGUGCAACCUGCCACCAAGCAUAGCGCUACAAAAGAAAGGUACAAGGGUCACCUUUCUGAGAAAAGUGCAACGGCCACUUUUCUACACCAACUCAAGACUCUAUCCAACUCAAUUGCCUUAGCCCCAAAAGUUAGCAUCCCUUUCAGGCCGCAUCAUACAAACUAUCUACUAAGGUUUAAGCCAACCGAAGCCAACUCCAACCCCUUCAACAGUUUGUACUAGCUUACGAAAACGGAAUGGUUUUCGAGCAAAGUGACUAACAGAUCAGCCAUUGGAAAAGUCUAAAAAUUUGUGGAAAAUUUUCCAUCCUAGAGAAAGAAUGACUCUCAAUCCAGGAUUGCAAACUUUCAAGACUCAACCAACUUCUUCCUACCAACAACUUCACAUAGGCUCACCUCAACACAAAUUCUCAUGAUCCAACAACAUGCUUAAGCAUCGAACAUCUUUGCCCAUAUAACCGACAUCCAACACUGACAUCCGCAAAGUGCAAAAUGAACAUCCAAGGCUUGAUCACGAAGACCACAUCUUCGGAUAUCCAUAUUGCACUAACACUCUUCUUCAAUCACCUUCAAGAUCCAAUGUGAAGCCAAAACACUAACAAGAAAAAUGACAUGGAAAAAUCAAGGUCCAAGGAAAAUUCCUCAUCACUUGAAAUAACAAUACCACUUCCACACAAGUGCUAGUGAUGUCAAUGCCCCAACUACACAUCUUCUCCAUCCAACAAUCUACUCCAAGUGCUAACGGAUCAACCGACAAGCUAUAGCAAAUGAAUGCUACAACCCUUUCCAACACCUAACAGGCAAACUCAAGGAAACAAGGUACCAACUUAAGCUUAGCAUAAUGGACCACUAUAGAGAAUCCAGUCAAAGCUACUACAAUGCUACUACAUGCAAGUAGACUAGCUUCUCUAUCAACCAAUUUGGGGUUGAUCAUCAUUUACCCAAGCAACUUCAUAAACACAUUGCUUAUUAUCACAUGGAUAUGAUAUAAAUCACAAUGACUUGAUCAUCAAUCAAGCAACACUAUGAGAAAUGCCCAUGUCACUACUGUAAAGGUUUAUGUGAAUAUCAAGUGCUAACUCAAUUCGACAAAAUGCAACAUAAAUGCCACACCCUAUCAAUAGAGAUUUACAACACCCAACACCACUAACUUUUGUUCACAACAUGGACAAGCUCAUGCUAUUCUCUUUCCGACCAAACUCAAAACUAAUCCAACACCAAGCUACUCAAGGAGCAAUAGCAAGGUUCCCCGGAAAAGAAUUGAGCAUUGCAACCCAAGUCUUCCAAUAGCGAGCCUAGACAAAAUGGUUUAGUGUUUCACCACUAUCCAUCCCAUAACUCACCACUUGUAAGACCAUCACUUCCAACAUGCAUCAAGGUAGGGACUCUUGAUUGCAUUAUGUGAACACAAGCAAUGAGUUAACACCUCCUUGCAAAUCAUCUCUUCAAGAAGAGAAAAUGAUUUACGUAUUUGAUCCUCCGUCCCCGAUGACUCUCUUUUCGGUCUCAUCUUUGACCAAACCUCAAGCUUGCUUUCACACUGCCUUUAGUUCAAUCGAAGAAAAGUUUAUGAGAGAGCACGGCAAUGAUUACUUGAACCAAUAGACUAUUCCCUACAGUCUUGAUUGAGCCACUUAUAAUCAUGCCUAGGAAGGAUCCACUAGUACCAUGCUAAAUAGCUACGGACCAGCCUAUUUGCCACUCAUAGCAAACCUAGGGAAAGUUUAUUUUCACCCAUGGUACAUGGAACAACUCAUGGAACCACUGAUAGGCUAGCAUUAAUCCUGCCAACUCUAAGUGUAACCUUGAGUUGCUAAUGUGCCUCACUCACUCGCCCAAGCGCAAACUCAUGCUACUGGAACAACUCAAUCCUUCUUAUGAGCCCAAGAGCAAGCUCAUAUAAUACAGUACAAAACGGUAACCAAAUCCAUACUCAAGGAACAUUUGCGAAGCCUUUGCACCCAAACAUGUACCCACUCGGAUCAUCGUUUUCAUCUCUGCGUAUGCAACGAGACUAGUUGCCCAAUCUCAUUGAAUAGUACUCGCUGAGACUCAUCCUCUGAUACCAAAUGUAGCGCACGUGGUUUUGACCCUUUAUCCUAUGGCGAUUUACCAUAGGAUACCACCACGAAGCGGAACCUAAACCCUCUUUGUGCCACGUGACAGAUGCCACGUGUCACAUACCACGUGUCCAUAGGAACCCGAGGUUCAGGGCCUUGGGCCACUGAACGAAGGAACGGUGCCAAACUCCCAAGCGUGACGCCAAGGAGUGAUGGAACCGGACCAUGGAGCAACUCCCGAGCAUAUAGCCCAAGGAGCGAAGGGACAGGAGCCCGAAGCGACUUGGAACAGUCCUGGAGCAACCAGCAUCCCAAUGCCAGGACCAGCACGCAAAACGGAGCCAAACAAAGUCUGGCGCUAUUUCGGCAUACCGGUGGCCUAACACGAGGAUAUGGGUACUCCACCAGCUAGCAUGGAAUGGAACUUGGGCUUAGACCCAAGCCGGACGCAGAACAAGGAUAGACACGCAAGCGGGAGCUAGACUAUGCCUCAGGUUGGUCGGCCAUGCCCGACCUACCCACUAUCCCUACUAUACAUUUGGAACCCCCCAUAUCCCCCCCCCCCCUUGAGGAACACACGCUUUGGGCUUUCACCUCAAGCCUCCCUUAGUAUCAGGAGUUAGUCUCAGGGACAAACUCGAAACUUACUAAAUAUGGAAUGUCCUUAGAUUGCGAAUUUGGACACGGGACGAACACCAUUGUGUUCAGGUCGAUCUCUACAUUCCGUAGAUAUGCCAAAUGAGCAAAUCUGGACACUUUCCAUAAAUAGCAUUUGGGACUGAAAUGAGACUAACACAAAGGGCAUGAUAGCGAGGGUGUUUGGCAGACACGGUAAGCUAUCAUCCAGCGAUAUUGAGGGACUAAUCUCAAUACGCGAGAGUUCUUGCCAAGCCAGUGCAAGACAGAGCAAAAGAGAACUAAGAGCCAGGCCGAGAAUGCUCAGCUAGAAACACAUAGGAGUUCCUACUUUAUGUUCAUCUGGCUAAGUACAGAUGCUAAGCCCAGUAAGCUAACACUUGGACAAGAGGGGCUAAUAAAGGGAACCAGCAAUACCGACCUCCUGCCAUCGUGGCAGUAAGGUAAGAGUGUCCGUAAGGACUAGCCGACAGGUAACUUUCGAUACCCAAAGUCACAUUCGCGACAUAAACUACCUGCAAAUUCCAUUUGCACACCAUCAAAAUCUUAUUAAGUUCUAUGGCUAGAUCAGUUGCCUAGCAUAUCUUUCACCACCUAAUUCACAUGCUCAGUUUGCCCAUAUGUCUAAAGAUGAUCUCUAAUUGAGAGUUUGAAAGUCACUUGCAUAGCCUUUGUAAAGCUUUUCAAAAAUCCCCUAGUGAACUUUUAAUCUUGAUCACUAAUGAUGUCCUGGAAAACCUUCUUGAAGUAGACCACAACUAAAUAUGAGGUAGUGACAAUCUUCCAGAGAGCCAACAACUAUAUAUACUUUGUUAAACAAUCCAUACUUACUCCUUUUGCCUUUGUGUUUGUGGCAAAAAGGUGAUGAAGUCUAUACAGAUAUUACACCAAUAGCUCUGAGGAAUAAGUAAAGGUUGCAAAAGUCCUUUUAGCUUCUUCUGUGACACUUUUACUUAUUGACAGAGCUCACUUGAUUUACAAUACUUGAAGAUGUCAACCUUCAUAUUCCUCCAAUAAAAAUUGCACUUAAUCAACUUAUACGUCUUCUUCCCCCCAAAAUAACUAGCAUCUAGAUGAUUAUAAUAGUGGAAUAAAACUUGAGUAAUUAAUGCAUCCACCCAUAGCAAAUAUACAUGGCUAUUAUAGUAAAGAAUCCCAUCCACCAAUGAGAAAAGUGCUUCCAUCUACACUUAUAAAAAGACCACCUCAACAUCCUAAGUCUGAGCACACUCAACCAACUAUCCAAAUUCAAUGACCACCUUACUCAAAUGAUGACAAAAUCGUGUUUUUAAUGCUAUUAUAUGACGAACAUGAGAUAAAGCAUCUGCAACCACAUUUGAUUUUCCCGGACUAUGCUUAAUAGGAAACUUCCUAAACUCCAUGAGUUUGACCAUCCAACAAAUUUGCCUAGUGUUCAACUCCUUCUAUGUGAAAAGAUACACAAGAGAUUUGUGAUCUGUCACACCAUGAACACUACACCAUAAAGAUAGUGCCACCAUGUCUGCAAGGCAUGAACAAUAAAGAGUAACUCUUGCUGAUAUAUGGAAUAAUGUUGCUCUAUGGGAUUCAAAAUUUGACUCUCAUAUGCAAUAGGUUGUCCCUCUUGUAUGAGAUUUCUUCCCAAUGCAUAACAACUCACAUCACAUAUCACCUUGUAAAGUUUUGAUGGAUCGGUAAUGCAAAACACUAGAGCCUCGCUCAACAACUGUUUCAAUGCCACAAACUCUUUUCAUGUGGCUUCUUCCACUCAAAUGGCACAUUCUUGCGCAACAAUUGUGUCAAAGGAAUAGCCACCUCCACAAACUUAUGCUAAAAACAUCAGUAGUAACUAAUCAUACCAAGGAAGGUUCGUAACUCAGCCAUUGAAGUCGGUGUAGGCUAGUUUUCCACCACAGCCACCUUCCUUGGAUCUGUCUUGACACUCUUAGAUGUCAUAAUAUAGCUUAGAUAUUCCAUCUCUGACUUUAUAAACUCACAUUUGCUCUUCUUCACAUAUAUUUUGCUGUCAUGCAAUAAUAAAAGAACCUUGUGCAAAUUCACUUUAUGCUCCUCCAUAUUCUUGCUGAAAACAAGAAUAUUGUCCAAGAAAAUCUUCAUAAACUUAUGAAGAUACGCCUAAAUACCUUUAUCAUCAACUGAGUAAAUGUGGCUAAUGCAUUUGUCAAACCAAACAGCAUAAUCAUAAACUCAAAAUGCUCGAAGCUUGUGUUGAAUGCCAUCUUCGAGAUAGAUGCAUAAUCCAUUGCAAUCUAAUGAUAUCCACUCCUUAGAUCAAUCUUGGUAAACACUUAUGUUUCGCUCAUGGAGAUGAGAGGGAGAACAAGCAAUCAAUGCUACAACUUUUAUGAUUGAAUGGCACUUCUCGCUCAAAACCGCAUUCACUUCAACAAUACUAUUCCUCUCACAAUCAAUUAUACAUAUCUUAAUAUCUAAAGCAUUGAAUGAUUGUGUCUAUUGAUCGCCAUCAAAGAGAAUGAAAAUCAUGACCAUUGAUCGAGACUGUUGAUCACGUCCGUUGAUUUUUAUAGUUUUAUACCUAGGGUUGGAGCAGCAAAUGGCAAGAGAAAGGCAUGUUUGAGUAGGGAAGGGUGACAGAAAGGAGCUUCAACCUAGCAAUGUGCUCAAGGAUGCUCCUCAAACAAAGUAUGCUUCUGUGAGAAAGUCGAUUCAUGCACGAACUGACAUUUCCUCACCUUCUUUCUUCCAUUAGAAGUUUUCUUUUUUCUCGACUUUUGUUUUCUCUUGAGGGAUAGAGAUAUCAGUUCUUGUGCAAACCGACAUCUCUUAGCAUUCUUUUUCAUUUUCUGUUAGCUUUUCGCCCAUCUCUACCUCGUUUUUUUUUAUUUCUUUUCCUUGUUGAAGGGGUGGGAAAGGUCGGUUCGCGUGCGAACCGAUGUCUCCCCACUUUCAUUUUUUCUAGACGCAAGCUUUCUUAGUUUUUUUCAUGUUUCUAGUGAUGAGAUCUCUAUAUUUUAAAAAACAAAGAGAGAUAGAAAUAUUGGUUCUUGUGCGAACCGAUAUCUUUAAGGUUUAUUCUUGAUUUUAAUGACUUAAUGGGGCAUUUCAUGUGAAAAUAAGAGGGUGGAAAAUGUCGGUUCUUGCAUGAACCCACCUCUCCCAUAUUCUUGUUGUGUUUUUCUUUUAUCUCAAGAGGUAGGGUGAGGCUGAUUCUCGCGCAAACCAACCUCUUGCAGUGACUUGUGGUUUUUUCCUAAACAUUUCUUGUAGUUUACAAUUUAUUUUUCACAUCUUUUACUUACAAUUUUUUUUUGUGAGAGCAGAUAUAAAUCAACCUUGACUGCCUGGAACUUCCAACAAGGGACUUGAACUUAAAAUGCCAUAAAUUUGCUUUACAUUACAAGUUAGAUGUUAUAGUAUUUUUACUUUUUAUUUUAGAGGAAGCGCCGAGGCUAGCCUCAAUGGUCUCGUUCUCCAAGAAAAGGCAGCCGCCUUCAUCACUGUGGGCUUGGUUGAUUGAGUGGAGAUUCAUCUCAAGUAUCCAAUGAAGUUUCUGCUAGUCAUGCUGGAGGCAACAAUGAGCAUAACAAUGACGUGGAUGUUGAGAUGGACACUCAAAUUAAUGUUGGUGUUAUUGAGGCUAUUGGUACUGGUGCUCUUGAGGCUGUGGCUAUUGGUGGUGAGGUACUUGCAUCUGAUGUUGGUGGUGGUGGGGGUGCUGUGCCUUUGGUUGCUGAGGUUGCUCGUGGCAAAGUAAAUGAACUAGCUGAGGAGGUUAUUGGUAGCGCUGUAGGUGGAUCUAUUGCGGAGGCUACUAGGGGCAUGGUAGCUGCUCCUACUACUCCUCAGGCUAGUGGUGUAAGGGGAGCUAGUGGUGGUGAGGGAUUAUGUAUGCAUGAUUCUGACACCAUCUUAAAUGAUCAUGUUUGGGACACGAUCAUCUAAGCUCAAGAAUGGACAAUCAGUAAAGUGUUACAAGAAAUGGCAUGGAAUGGCCCUUAUCGUUUUCUAGUUCCUUUGUGCCAGUUGGUUCAAAGCCAUUGGGUGCACUCAGCUUACGACCUCAACAUGGCUAUCUACAGCUCUUUUGCUGAGGUCGGGUUUGAGAGCACAACUAGUACCUUCAUCGUUUCACCAACUUUCCCUGGAAUCGGCCGGACAGAGCUAGUGACUAUUGAACUUGAGCAAAAAUAGGAUCCUAUAUGGCUACAAAAGUCUCGUGAAUUUGAUGGAUUCUUAGGACAACAAGUAAAGAUAACAAGGUUCAUUGGAAAGCUCUUUUGGGUGAUUGAUGGAAACCAUAAGUAGUUAGUAUUUUGGAAGUGCAUUCAAGAGAAGUUCUGAGAUGACGAAGAGCGAUAUAUUAGUGUUUCAGUCACACUUGUCAAAUGAAUGACUCAGGAGCACAUUGUAUGUGAAUCUCAAUAUGGCAUGCCAUAAGACCAACAUGUAAGAAUUUAUUUUUUGUAAACUUAGCCAAUAUUGUGUUUUUCCAAGCUAAACCAAUUUGCGUUUCAAGCUUAUAUUGGUAUAUGACAUUGAGCACAUUCGGUUUAUUGGCAUGCUCUCGCUAGAGGAGGUCCAAACGUUGUACAAUUAUGAGGUAUUUGAAGCAAUUCAAGUGAAGCUAGCAGCUAGGAAAAGCCAAGAAUUUCAGACUUGGUACCAGCUGCCACUUGAUUUUCUAGUUGCUAUCUGGGCGAAGGGAAAUUCGUGUUGAAGUAUGUAUCAACUUAUAUAAUGUUUCUUGUAGCCCAUAAUCAAAGGAAAAAGAGCCUCAUUUUUUAAAAAUGCCCGAGGGGACGAGUAGUAGAAGGAGAUGGAGUGGCAUGCAAUUGAGUAGCGAAUUUUGAAUAUGAAGAGAACAAACGUGAAAAAGUUGCUCUCAAUUACAGACAUACGACGUGGGCAGAAAUGGCUCGAUAGCAUUGCCAAUAUUUGUUUUCGCAUUUGUAAGUUCUUCUAAAAUUUGUGAAACAUUUCAUAACACUUUGUGUGUGUAGGAACUGGUAAAGCACUAGAGGAACUCAUUUACAACAUCUCCAAGAGUAAAAUGUCCUUUUCUGAACAAAGCAUUCACUUGGAACUUCUCAACACUUGGCUACGAAACAACAAAAAAUAUUGCGAGAAAAGGAUGGAGAAGGUGCUGAAGGAGAAGACGUAAAUUUCUCAGAGUAUUGCCACUGGUGAGAAGAUGCUACAAGUCUGGGAGAAGAAGUUUCUUUCCAGCAUCUGCACAAGUAUCACUCUCGAAAAAUAUAUUUGUGCUUGUCUUGCGGAGCUAGGGAAUGGUUGGCUUCCAUGUGGUGGGACAAGUUCGGCUGAGUUCAAGAACCAACCAAGACAACCAUUUCUUAUGCGGCACAUGGUUUACAUGUAUUUUCUCAAUUCUCAUUUAUAUAUUGGUAUUUAUAUUUUUGUUUUAGUUUGUAGAUAUUUAAAAUAUUGAACUGGUAUACACAGCCGGGGUUUUGUAGUAGCUCCUGACUAGAGGCAAGAAGUUUGGGAUGUAUGAGCCAGAGUUCUAUUGUCCUUGUACACAUGGGAAGGAGCUAUGCCCAUGGUACCUUGAACUUGUGAAGCAGAUGCCGACAUCGAACUUCGAGCUGGAUCUCUACCUUGAAUGUCAUCCACAUUCACUUGAAACUCAGCACUUAGCUAUUAACCUUGAGUUAUAUUCUUAUUUUCUAAAGGCUCUUUCUAAUUGUGAUAACGACAUUAUUGAAGUUCAACAACUAAACCCAAGAGUCCACACUCAGGAAACCAUUCAAAAGAUGCCAAAUCCAAAUACCGUUGAACUAGAGGAAACUGUACAGGAGAUUCCAGCACAAGAGAUUCCAAUACUUGCCCUUCGCAACCCUCGAAGAGGCUAUCAUAAAGCCUUUCACAAGAGUAAGGACUUUGAUUUGGAACAUUCUUUUAUUCAUUCUUGACUUCACUUUUUUUUUUAUAGAUGUUGUAGAGAGCAACCAUCAGUCUUCUCGGUAGACUAAGACAUUCUUCCCAUCCCUCCCCAUAGCUACAGAUGACGACCUGGAAGAGCUCCUCUGCAACUAUGCAUAAACAGGUUAGUAAGCAUGAAUUUUAUCUCCAACUUUUAGUUCUAAUAAUUGUUUUUCAGGUUCGCCCUCUAUCCCCAACGGCCAGUGUUAGGGAAGUUGCUGUUCUCAUUGGGGAUUAUAUGCAGCUUUUAGAUGCUACUAGUCAGGAGCUCUACAUGCUUGAUCAGUGGAUCCAUGGUCAGGGUCAGCUCACAUUUUUUGAUCUUCCUGAUGGUCAGGGUCAGCUCAUCUUUUUCGAUCUUCCCGAUGGGAUGCCACUACUGUAGGGGGAUACUCUGUCAUGGAAUGUGUUGCAGGCCCAACACAUUUCCCAAGCCUUAAAGGUUAUGAGCAGCUUCAUGACAUACGAGGCUAUGGCUAUUAUGAUCCUUCCCCACUCUCUAAUAUGGGAAGGCCUUCUCACACGCUUGGUUGACAACGAUGAUGGAUUUGUCGAGUUUUCACCUUGCUGCCUUCUUUCGAGUAUGGCAGUGGACACAAAAGGCACUGGGCAGAAGUGAAAAGUGUGUGACUUCUUUAUUUACAAAUUAACUCUAUUCUAUUUUUUUUUUCAGAUAUAUUCCUAGAACUACCAUGCUCUAUACCACAUUGGGAACCGGUGUAAUGCCACACGAGCUAACGAGCAUGCUGCUCUUGCUUUACCAGGAUACGACAGCUCUACAGACAUCAUCCCAAAUGUGAUUGACUCGGACAUUCUUCACCCAAUGUUCCUUGGUUAUCGAUAUCAUUCAGUCACGGCCAUGCUGAUCUUGUUAGAGUUAUUCUAUCCACCAAAGGGGAUUGUGCUAUGGAUAUUGAAGCAUAAGAAGAUUGAAUAUAUUCUGAUUUUAAAUUAAUUAUGUUGUUUAAUAUAUUAUUUUAUUUCUUUGUAGAAUAAAAGAUUAGUUCGUGUUAAACCAAUAAUCUACAUGAGCUUAUAGAAUACCUUAAACACCUAGAUUUUAUGUUAAAAAUUCUUGGUUCAGGACAAACUAAGGUAGUGCUAUUAAACUUUCACUAGUUAGAGGAUUGUAUUGACCUCCCAUGAUUGUUUCUCUUAGCUUCCUAGAGUGCUUCUGCAAUCAUCGUUUACAUAGCCGGCCUACAUAUUCUUCCAUUUUCAAGCUUCAUCUUUAUCACAGUCAUUUUGGGCAACUUUGAGCAACUUCUAAAUGAGGCUAAGGGUUCUAGGCCAUUUAUUUUGACCAAGGAUUCUUCUUUUUGUGCCUUAGAAAAGUCUACAAUCUUACUGCUCUUGUCAAUCCAAUUGCCUUAACCGGGCAUUUGCAGCAUUUAGGAUAUUUGAUGCCAGUACAAACUAGAUGUGUAGCAAAUUAGUGCCCUUUCAAAGUAUCUCAAGGCCCUAGGUAUAGAGUAAACUUUCUAGCAUCCAAAGGCAACUUAGGUACGACAUAACACCUUCUUGAGCCAAGUCUUCUUCAUCCUCGGUAGAUUCUAAUGACUUAGAUCUACAAGCUAUGGCACAACCACAUUUAACUUGACCCAAGUUCCAUGUUUUGCAGAAGGGGAGUGAUCUGCUGACAUUCUCAAGUGUUGGAACAGUCUCUCUAGCGUCGCAUAUCAGUCGCUUUGAUUACUAUUGCACUACAAACAUGAUUGUCGAUGAUGAUUGUAUGUGCUACGACUUCUUGCAGUCUCUCAAAGGCAAAACAACAACUUGGGCAGAUUCUCUUCUCCAAAAGAACUAGAUAGACUUCCAGACGCUGCUUGCUUCUUUCAAAGAAAAACUCACAAAUUGAUUACUUGUAGAUCUCUUUUCCUUUUGGCAAGGUGAUCAUGAGUCUAUUCUUGACUACAUCACCAGGUUUCAAGUGUACUAGGAGUAGUGUUAUGAUCGCAAAGUGGUCCAAGAUGAGCAGCAGCAGAUCAUAGGAUUCACAAUGGCUCUGCAUGGGAACUUAUAGUAGAAACUUCUUAAGAAGACAUUCAGGUUUUGCCGCAAGGCAUUUUUAUUUGCCAUGAAGCUGGAAAGAGAGCUAUUUGUUGACACAGGGAUUGCUAGAGUUAAUUUUGAUUAUGCUUGAUGCUACAGUAGGUUUUCGUUCGAUGGUGCUAGUGGCUAAAGAGAUUGGCUGUGCAAUUUUUGCACUGGAGAAGUAGAGUGCAUUUGAAGGUGUUCUUGGGACAUUUCAUAACAGGUGAUAAUAAAGUAAACAUUUCUCAUUAUAGUAAUUCCAUCAUGGUUGUGUAUAUUAGGUGGAUUGAUGAUCUGGGCUAUAAUUUGCCAUGUUAUGUAGAAGCAUUGGCACAAACUCAUAUGCAACAAGAGCCCACAGUUAGAGAGCAUAAUAUUAUAUGAACUCCUUUUGUGGAUGUGGAUGCCGAGGAAGACUAAAUUUAGUUUUUUUUUAGUCGAUUUUUUUAGUGGUAAUAUAGAGUUCCUUCUUUGACUUAUGAUAUAUUUUUUUUAUUAGACUUAUAUUAUUUAGCUUUUUCUUAGACUGAAAAUAUGUUUUAAGUUUUGAAUAGAAUUGUUGAUUUGUCCUGAACCAAUCAUUUAAAUAACAACUUUUGUAUUUGGUGGACUAUAUUGACUUUCAUUGACUUGAUCUUAGCUCAAAAACUACGCAGCCCCAGUUGAAGGAGAUCAUUCUUCAACAACAGUCAUACCAUGAUAAGUUGCUCCAGAAGCUUGUGGAGUCUAGGAAAGAGGCUGUUGCAACUCAGAAAUGCUGAUUCAAGUCCCGUUAGUGCACUCACUACGAGACAAACACACAUAACACAUAGUGCUGCUUCAAGCUUCACCCAGAUCUUCUGCCUCCACCUUCUCAACAUGUCUAACACGUUAAACCCUAAACCCUAAAUUGUCUUGCACCAACGGGACUUGAAUCAGCAUUCCUAAGCUGAAACAGCCUCUUUCCUAGACUCCACAAGCUCCUAGAGCAACUUGUCAGAGUAUGAGUGUUGGUAAAGAAUGAUCUCCUUCAGAGAGAUGUGGUGUGCUGACAAGUCCACACCAUCCUGUGGUCCAGAGACAUACCAGGAGUAGUUGGAACAACAAGCAAUCAAGGCAGCCCCUUUGUCAAGCAAAGGCAAAGCACCAGCCUCAUUGGUCAACAUGAUUUUGGUAGCCAAGGAACUCUAUAGACAAUAGCAGCAAACUGUAGCCACUCGAGCCCAAGUGAAGGAGAAGGUAGCUGCUUAGCCUAUCAUGGAUCCCCUGGAAUUAGUUGAGAGUGAAUCUCUUUCGGCACCAAAUCUAGUGAUACAGAGGAUGGCUUAUAAACUCCCCUUCAAGUCACUACUCUUCUCUCCUUCUGAGAUUUCACCAAUAGUUAUUCAUGUUUCAGAGCCAAUUCUUUGGAAGCUGGUUGGCACUCUUGUCACUUUUUCGCUCCGAGACAUGUUGUGCCUUGUCCCUGGAUUUAGCUAGUGUUUGGAGGAGUUUGCAUGGUCAGGAACACCACAAAGCACUCUCAACAGGACUCUCAAAAGGUGCACAUCGUUGACAUGACAAAAUAUAGUGGAGAUCCUAGUCCAUUUUUUGUCCCGGUGCACGUUAAACCCUAAACCCUUAAUUGUGUUGCAGUGAGUGCACCAACGGGACUUGAAUCAGCAUUCCUGAGCUGCAACAGCCUCUUUACUCCACAAGCUCUUGAAGCAACUUGUCAUAGUAUGACCGUUGGUAAAGAAUGAUCUCCUUCAGAGAGAUAUGGUGUGCUGACAAGUCCACACCAUCCCGUGGUCCAGAGACAUACCAGGAGCAACUUCCUUGCUCCUGGUAUACCUCCUUGCCCUUCUGGGGCAAGGGUUUUAUAAAAGGAAGAUGAGGAAUAUUUUGGGAAUCAAAAUAUUCUCUCCACACUCACACUCUCUAAAUGGCCAUGUCCUAACACAUGACCAUGGUGGAUUCGCAUUGACUCUAGAUGUGUGAGAACCCUCUGAAGAGUGUCAAGUGUACCUCUGCUACUGAUGCUAAGUGCUAGUAACUGUGUGAAAUAGUAGAAACUUGAGAAAAGAAAGUGGAAAAAGAUAAAGAAGGGGUAGGUGUGAAGUUUGAAGACAAGGAGGAAAACCUGAUAGGAAACCCUAUAGGCAAACUAGACCCUAAUGUAAAAGAAAAGUACACAAGUGUGAAAAGUGAAGAAAAAUAAAAAUAAAAAGAAUGAAUACCCAAAGAACUUAAUCCGUACUUAGAUUUCAGAUAAGGAAAGUGUAAUAUGCAAAUGGAACCUCGUGAUGACUUCAAAUAUGCUCCAAGAAUUGGUUGAAAUCAAGAAAGAGAGGUACAAGAAGGGAUGUAUUGCUCAAUGGUGGUAAGUGUAGAAAUGAUGAAAGAUGGAAUAAUAUGGUGGAGUGCUGAGAUGGUGGUGGUGUUCUGAGAAGGUGGUCAUCUCUACAAGUGGUAGGCCUAUGGUCUAAUAUGUUGGACUAAAGAAAUUCAUAGCAGAAAAGGACAGCAUAGUUGCUAGAUUGCCAGUAAAGAAAGGUGGCAUAUAUCCACUGAGUGCUAGAGUAGGAGAAAGUGGUUUUAGCUUCUGUGGAGUUGCCUAAAGAUCCAUCUAGACGCCUUAAGUGAAUAAGUUCACCUGGUUGGAAGAAAGUUACUCUAAAAAAGUUAGCAUAUCGUUGGCAAAUGGUUGUAAUAAUAUCUCAAAAACAGCAGUGGGAAGAUGCUCACUGUGUGACACCUCAAAUAGUGGCUGAAAAGAAUUGAAUUUGGCUGCAUCCUAUGCAAGAUGGACCUAGUCUGAACUGACUGUAUCAUCAAGCUCCAUGAGAGAAAGCUGGUCCCAUGCAAGAAACAAGUCAAGAAGCCCUUCCUCCAUCAGGAAACACUCCACAAAGCUAGAUAUGGAAGUUGGCACCUCAUAAUCCCCACCAUCAAAUAAAGAGGGCAUGGCUAGAGGCUCAGCCUUAGUCUCAAAUAAAGAGAGUGAGGCUGAGAGAUAUUCAGAGCCAUCUAAUUCACCUCUAACAAUGUCAAUUGCAUUGCAUGAGAAAGCAUCUAUCACAUAAAUGGUUGACUCCACCACAACCUUGGGGAAAAUCUCUGUGAGCUCAAGAAGAAAGUGUGGUGUGGAGACCAUCUUAGCCCGAUCCUUCUGGGCAUGCUGAGAAAAAGCUCUACCAUGGUUGUUGAGAAAGGUGGUGCUAUGGAUUCUGUCGCUAAUUUCCAUCUUGCCUUCUGCGUUGUUGAUGGUGUUGGAGGAAGGAGGGCCCCCUCACAUGACGCUCACUCAAACACAAGAAAUGCUCCAAUGCUCUUCACAAAUGCCCCCUUUUGCCCUUGUGGGGCAAAGGUUUUAUACAAGGGAGAUGGUUAAUAUUCUAGGAAUCAGAACAUUCCCUCUCACUGGUGUGGCCAUUUAGAGAGUGUGAGAGUGAGAGAGGGAAUAUUCUUCCUAGCAGGGCAACGGGAUGCAUUUGUGAAGAGCAUUGGAGCAUUUCUUGUGUUUGAGCAAGCAUUGCAGGAAGCACCCCUCCUUCCCCCAACAAUAGUGCAAUGGGCUGUGACUUGCCACGAGCAGCUGAGGAUGAUAGAUUCCCUCAAAGAAGAUGUUCCAAGAUGCUGGUAGUUGACCAUGAGGAAAUCUACCUCGAAAAUAACACCUUGCACUAAGACCUUGACACCACAACAAGUGCCUACUGGAAGAACAAUGUGAUUGGUGAAGGCUUUGAGCACAAUGGAGGAGCUCCUAGUGAUCUAUAGCUGUGCUGAGACAAUAGUUUCAAGAGAGAUAAUGUUGCUCCCAAAACUAGAGUCAACCAAAGCAUCCAUCUUGCAAAAGGAUGUACCAAUUUGCACCGGGACAAAAAACAGACUAGGAUCUCCACUAUAUCUUGUCAUAUCAAUGAUGUGCACCUUUUGAGAGUCUUGUUGAGAGUGCUCUAUGGUGUUCCUGACCAUGCAAACUCCUCCAAACACUAGUUGAAUCCAGGGACAAGGCACAACAUGUCUCGGAGUGAAAAAGUGACGGGAGUGCCAACCAGCUUCUAAAGAAUUGGCUCUGAAAUAUGAAUAACUAUUGGUGAAAUCUUAGAAAGAGAGAAGAGUAGUGACUUGAAGGGGAGCUUAUAAACCAUCCUCUGUAUCACUAGAUUUGGUGCCGAAAGAGAUUCACUCUCAACUGAUGCCAGGGGAUUCAUGAUAGGCUAAGCGGCUACCUUCUUCAUCACUUGGGCUCAAGUGGCUACAAUUUGUUGCUAUUGUCUAUAGAGUUCCUUGGGGGGCUGGGUAGUUUUUGAACUGAGCUUAAGUCAAUGAAAGUCAAAAAAGUCAAAGGAAGUCAAUACAAUCCCCUAACUAGCGAAAGUUUAAUAGCACUACCUUAGUUCGUCUCGAAUCAAGAAUUUUUAACAUAACAUCUAGGUGUUUAAGGUAUUCCAUAAGCUCAUGUAGAUUGUUGGUUCGACAUGAACUAAUCUUUUAGUCUACAAAAAAAGAAAAUAAUAUAUUAAACAAUAUAAUUUAUAUUAAAAUCAGAAUAUAUUCAAUCUUCUUCUACUUCCAUAUCUAGAAAAGUAGAAAUGGGUAUAGUGGAAUGCUCCUUCAUUAUAGGCUCGUGUUGUAUGUAACGUUGUGCCAUACAUUCAGUAUAAAUAGGUAAGUGGAAUUGACUUCAGUCCAUAUGAUCAUCCAUAUCAUCAAGAUCAAGCGUGUGGAUUGAAACACUGUGUGUGAUAAGUGUAGACUUAAUAAAAUAGAAACAUUUGAGAAUAAAUAUUAUAGAUUAUUUCAAGCACUAACAUGACCUGUCGCAAAAUCUCCUAAGAAUGUCCUCAAAGGCACCCUCCUUCUCAAGUGCAAAAACAGCUCAGUCUAUCUCUUUUGCUGCCUGCACCAUUGAUCCAAAUCCUGCUGUAGCAUCAAGCACAAUCCCCUUUGGCGGAUAGAAUAACUCCAACAAGAUUUGGCCGUGACUGAAUGAUGUCGAUAACCAGGGAACGUUGGGUGAAGAACGUCUGAGUCAAUCACAUUUGGGAUGAUGUCUAUAGAGCUGUCAUAUCCUGGUAAAGCAAGAGCAACACCCUUGUCAUCUCAUGUGGCAUUAUGCCGAUUCCCAAUGUGGCAUAGAGCAUGGUAGUUCCAAGAAUAAAUCUGGAAAACAUCUGACACCAGAUAGGUAGAUCUAAUGUCAUCUGCCACCACCCUGCAGUGGUGGCAGCCCAUCGGGAAGAUCGAAAAAGAUGAAAUCGAUCUUCCCAUAAGGUGUGAGCUAACCCAAACCAUGGAUCCACCAAUCAAGCAUGUAGAGCUCCAGACUAGUAGCAUCUAAAACCUGUGUGUUGGUGUUAUUGAGGCUGUUGGUACUGGUGCUCCUGAAACUACGGGUACUAGUGGUGGGGUACUUGCAUUUGAUGUUGGCGGUGGUGGGGGUGCUGUGCCUUCGAUUGCUGAGGCUGCUCGCGGCGAGGUAAAUGAACCAUUUGAGGACGUUAUUGGUAGCAUUGUAGGUGGAUCUACUACAGAGGCUACUGGGGCAUGGUAGCUGCUCCUACUACUCCUCAGGCUGGUGGUGCAGGGGGAGCUAGUGGUAGUGAGGGAUUAUGCAUGCAUGAUUCUGACUAGAGGCAAGAAGCUUGGGAUGUAUGAGCUAGAGUUCCAUUGUCCUUGUACACAUGAGAGGGAGUUAUGCUCGUGGUACUUUGAACUCGUGGAGCAGAUGCCGACAUCAGACUUCGAGCUAGAUCUCUACCUUGAAUCCCAACACUGGCCAUUGGGGAUAGAGGGCGAACCUGAAAAUCAAUUAUUAGAACUAAAAGUUGGAGAUAAAAUUCAUGCUUAUUAACCUGUUUAUGCAUCACUGCAGAGGAGAGCUCUUCUAGGUUGUCAUCUAUAGCCAUAGAGAGGGAUGGGAAGAAUGUCUUAGUCUGGCGAAAAAACUGAUGGCUGCUCUUUGCAACAUCUAUAAAAAAAAAGUGAAGUCAAGAAUGAAUAAAAGAAUGUUCCAAAUCAAAGUCCUUACUUUCAUGAAAGGCUUCAUGAUGGCCCCUUCAGGGGUUGCGAGGAGCAAGUACUAGAAUCUCUUGUGCUGGAAUUUCCUGUACAAUUUCCUUUGGUUCAACGGUAUUUGGAUUUGGCAUCUUUUGAAUGGUUUCCUGAGUGUGGACUCCUAGGUUUAGUUGUUGAACUUCAACAACGUCGUUAUCACGGUCAGAAAGAGCCUUUGGAAAAUAAGAAUAUAACUCAAGGUUAAUAUUUCCUAGCUAAGUGCUGAGUUUCAAAGUGAACCUGGAUGACAUUCAAGGUAGAGAUCUAGCUCAAAGUCUGAUGUCGGCAUCUGUUCCACGAGUUCAAGGUACCACGGGCAUAACUCCCUCUCAUGUGUACAAGGACAAUAGAACUCUAGCUCAUACAUCCCAAGCUUCUUGCCUCUAGUCAGAAUCAUGCAUGCAUAAUCCCUCACUACCACUAGCUCCCCCUGCACCACCAGCCUGAGGAGUAGUAGGAGCAGCUACCAUGCCCCAGUAGCCUCUGUAGUAGAUCCACCUACAACGCUACCAAUAACGUCCUUAAAUGGUUCAUCUACCUCGCCGCGAGCAGCCUCAGCAAUCGAAGGCACAACACCCCCACCACCGCCAACAUCAAAUGCAAGUACCCCACCACUAAUACCCGUAGCUUCAGGAGCACCAGUACCAACAGCCUCAAUAACACCAACAUCAAUUUGAGUGUUCAUCUCAACAUCCACGUCAUUGUUAUGCUCAUUGUUGCCUCCAGCAUGACUAGCCGAAACUUCAUUGGAUACUUGAGAUGAAUAUCCACUCAAUCGGCCAAGCCCACAACGAUCAAGGUGGCUGCCUUUUCCUAGAGAUCGAGACCAUUGAGGCUGGCCUCGGCGCUUCCUCUAAAAUAAAAAGUAAAACUAUUAUAACAUCUAACUUGUAAUGUAAAGCAAACCUGUGGCAUUUUAAGUUCAAGUCCCUUGUUAGAAGUUUCAAGUAGUCAAGCUUGAUUUAUAUCUGCUCUCACAAGAAAAGUUUGUAAGUAAAAGAUGUGAAAAAUAGAUUGUAAACUACAAGAAAUGCAAAGGAAAAAAACACAAGUCACUGGGAGAGGUUGGUUCGCGCAAGAACUGACCUCACCCUACCUCUCAAGAAAAAGGAAAAACACAACAAGAAUACAAGAGAAGUCGGUUCGCGCAAGAACCGACAUCUUCUACCCUUUAAUUUUCACAUAAAAUGCCCCAUCAAGUCAAUGAAAUAAAAAAAAAGCCUUGAAGAUGUCGGUUCGCACAAGAACCAACAUUUCAAUCUCUCUAUGUUUUCUAAAAUAUAGAGAUCUCACCACUAGAAACAUGAAAAAAAUCAAGAAAGCUCGCUUCUAGAAAAAAUGAAAGUUGGGAGAUGUCAGUUUGCGUGCGAACCGAUCUUUCCCACCCCUUCAACAAGGAAAAAAAAUUUUAAAAAUGAGGUAGAGAUGGGCAAAAAGCUAAACAGAAAAUGAAAUAGAAUGCUAGGAGAUGUCGGUUCGCACAAGAACCGACAUCUCUAUCCCUCAAGAGAAAACAAAAGUCGAAAAAGGAGCAUGGAAGAAAGACAGUGAGGAGACAUCGGUUCAUGCGCGAACCAACCUUCUCAAGGAAGCAUACCUUGUUUGAAGAGUGUCUUGAAGCAUAUUGCUUGAUUGAAGCGCCUUUCUUUCACCCUUCCCUGCUCAAACAUGCAUUCUCUCGCCCUUUGCUGCUCAAACCCUAGGUGUAAAACCCUAAAAAUCAACGGACGCGAUCAAUAGUCACGAAAAAACCAUGCAUGAACCAACCUUUCUGAGCUUGAGUCUCUCUCACUUGUCACAAAAAAAUGAAACUCUCUUGAAGGGAAGAAAGUAUGGAGAUGAGAGGGAGAAUAAAUAAUCAAUGCUACAACUUUUGUGAUUGACUAGCGCUUUCCACUCAUAACCACAUUCAUUUCAACAAUAUUAUUCCUCUCACAAUCAAUUAUACAAUUACUAUGGGUGGCUCUUUAAAAUUCUCAUAUCUCUCUAGAUUCUAAAAGGUUGUAUAUUUUGUUAAAAUAAUUAACUUGUCCUUUGCAAGGACAUAGCUAAUUAAUGCUCACAAUACAGAAGAAUAUCUUUGUUCUUUUUUGUUAGUUUCUCCCCAAAUUUUUUUCUAAGUGCUCGAGGAAGGAGAAGAUAUGAGAGAAUUCUAUUUGAAGUUCAAUCAAGAGCCUCCAAUUGUUUUCUCUAAUAGUGUUAUAGGAGAGAGCUUCCUCUGUAGAAGAUUCAAGCUAAAGCUAGAAUUAGUUAGUUUGGAGAAUGUAUGUCGUGAUAAGGGUAAUCAAAUAGAAAAAUCCAUUCUUCUCGACAGUGGUGUGGGAGAGAAUGGGAUUCAAUGGGAUCUUGAUAGAUGUACAGGUCAAGAGAUUCUAAUUACAAGAUCUUCGAAGUGAGGAGAGGAAAGUGCAUCAGUUUCAUAACUAAUUGUGCAAGGAGUGAAGGAUGAAGUUGUUAUUCUCUCCAGUGACAAAAAUGAAGAAGAUGAGCUUCCCAAUAUAGCUUCCCAGACAAGUAGGUGUGUUCCUUCUGGACUAGUUUUUGAAGUGGUGGAUAAAGCAUUUCAGCAAUCUUAAUCAUUACGGUUGGAAUUGAAGGAGUUCCAGUACAUAAGAGGUGAGGAGCUUCCUUCUUCCUAUAAUGGGAAUAUAUUCUUUGAGUUUCCACCAGCAAGUUUGUCAAGUAGGAAAAGGGGUAUGGAGACAUGUCUUGAUCCACAUAAUUGGUGCAGAGAAAAGACGACCCACUUCUCUCAUUUCGAUGGAUCUGUGUCCAUAGUCCAUUGUGGUGGACAACUUUAGUGUGUCCCUGAGAAAUGCAUUUCUGAUCGUGGCAAGAAUAUGUGUUUCUUUGAAGGCUCAGCAAUCAAUCCUCCUAGGCGUGAUGAAGUUGCUACAGGAUUGAGAUGUCACAAAUGCAGGGCAAUACCUGUGUGUCAAGCAUGUUGCAAUGUAAAAAUGUAUUAUUUUCUUCCACGGGAUGGAUGUUUAGGUAGAGUAGCAGUGCAUGUUAGAUACCACCAACAUGCAAUCGAGGAAGGAAUCCACCGUGAUUCUUUUUGCAAUUUGAAGAUUGCUGUUACUACAGAGGCUGGGAAGAAAAGUGCAGCAACUCCAAAGUGUGUUCAAUAGUUUGUAUUAAAGGACUAUGUGGUGGACAUAUUGCUACAAUCUGAUAGCAAAAAAAAGUUCACGGUGAAUAGCUUGAAGGACCUACUUCGAAAUAUAGAACCUAUGACAAAUUUAAAUAGGUAUAAAAUUAACACCUAACUCUACUUUAUCACUAAUAACACUCUUUCUUUUGGUAGAAUAAAGAACUGGAUGCGAGAAGGGUGAGAUGGAAAGCUUCAAUCUGGAUUGGAUGGGAUUUUGGAGCUAAAGAGAAAAUGUCCUUAUUGUAAGCAAUUAAAGAGAACAACUUGAGAGAUGGUUCAUGGGGUUCAAAUAUAGAGGGAAAGGGCCCAUGAACAAGAGUGCACCCCCUUUUCCAAUCGGUUGGUUAAAGGUCUUGGGAUACUUGGGGUUAAGCGUCCUUGGGUUUGAAUAGUACUGGGCUGGGUGACCUCCCAAGAAGUCUAAAUUCAGGAGCGUUUACAUUUGGUAUCGGAGCGGUCUUGGGUCCGACUCUAUUGGUUGGCUAAGGGAAUCACACUACAUGUUGAUUGACAUCUAGUUGGUCCAGUUUGCUCCCGCUGGGCUCGACCCGAGGGGUAGGGUGUCAAGAGAGCGGGGCUCUCAAGAGAGCUGUGGUUCUCAACUUCCAUUCACGAGGGCGUGAACUUGUAGGGAAGCGUGGUGGAUUGUAAGCAACCAAAGAGAACAAGAGUGCACCCUUUUUUCUAAUCGGUUAAGGGUCUUGGGAUACUUGGGGUUAAGUGUCCUUGGGUUUGAAUAGUACUGGGCUGGGUGACCUCUCGGGAAGUCCAAAUUCAAGAGCUUACACCUAUAAGUUUAUUCAUGGGAGCUUAUUCGUUGGCCAAGUGACUUCAAACAAUCAACACCCUUUCAUCUUUAAGAUGUCUACCCUUGGUCCUGCUUCUAGUGUGGACUUUGUACAAUGGAUGGAUAUAGGGAUUUGGCUAAUUCCUGGAGGAGCUCAUGUUUAUGAUCACAAGUGUUAGUUGGAGUAGUACGUACCCAUAUCCUCGUGUUAGGCCACCAGUAUGCUGAAAUAGUACAAUGGAUGGAUAUAGGGAUUUGGCUAAUUCCUGGAGGAGCUCAUGUUUAUGAUCACAAGUGUUAGUUGGAGUAGUACGUACCUAUAUCCUCGUGUUAGGCCACCAGUAUGCUGAAAUAGUGCCAGCACAAACUAUCUUUUGGACAUAUAUGUCCGAGGUCCAUCUCGAACUCCAUCUUGGGUCCAUCGCAGAUUCCAUCUCGGACUCCAUCUCAAGUCCAUCUCGGACUCCAUCUCGGGUCCAUCUCAGACUCCAUCUCGAACUCUAUCUUGGGUCCAUCUCGGACUCUAUCUCGAGUUCAUCUCAGACUCCAUCUUGGACUCAACCAUAUGUCAUGUGUUGGUCCUCUUGUGUCCCUUUUCUAGAGACUCUUUUAUUGCUCACUUUGUGCUCAUUCCUUGAAUACUUCGUUGGGAGUUCCACUCCUGCUCUUGACUUUUCAAGUCGGAGCUUUUAGUCUAAACGUGUUAUGCUUGUUUGGCUUUCGCUUCAGCCACUACCACGUGGCACUCUUUCGGCUCCACUUUGGGGCUUAGGGAUUUAUGUCUCACAACUCCACCACCCAUAGACGAAGUUCAAUAUCCUCAUCGAAUGAUAAAUUAUUUUAUAAAGUAAUACUAACAUGUAUUACCCUUUCCAUCCUUGCCACCUAACCAAUAUUCGUCAAUAGUUUGACACCGAAGGCUCACCAUGCCUUGUCCAUCCUCUAAGGAGCAUAGUCUUUCCAAGGUCCUGGAAGACCUACUCAAGUGCGUCACCCACGUCAUGGGAUAUAGCUCUUCGGAUGAGCGGUAGCUACAAAUGCAGGACAACCUGGUGGAGCUCAUUGUAGCCUGUGACAUCAUUCAUCACCUCCACAGCUUGUUUACACUCUUUGACAGGCCACAGGUUGAAGGGGCGCCCUUCCCACCACCCGUACUUCUCGGCCUCAAGCUACUCGACACACUAACGUGAGGAAAGAUGUUGACAGCAGCACAGUCUCCAUCUAGUAUGGCAGCUCAAUUCUUCUACUUUCAAAAGUUGAUGGGAAUGAAGAGGCUGGCUGAAUUACAGGAGUUGCUGUUUGACGAGCUUGAGAGCAACUGCCAUCCACCAGACUAUGCUUCUAGCUACAGCGAACCUGCCAAGGACCAGUUAGUCAAGGCUGACCGCACUUCCAAAUUGGAUGCAGGAACGAGCAAUAGGGAUGAACUGAGGAGACCAUCGUACGUGAGUAAAUCUGUCGGCUUUCUUCUCGUGGCCAUUGCCGAGACUGGAGUGGUCGGCCUUCCCUCACUACUUACCGCUAUUACAUUGCAGUCUAAUCCAAGAGCUACUUCCAACUUAAAGACUCAUUUGACCAUUUGUGGUGGUUCUCUGCUUUUAUUGGUUUAGUUCUCACUAAACUUGUUAGAGACACCUUCUCUAUCUCAAUCCCACUACUCAUUCUUGAGUAGUCUCAGUUUCCAUUGAUAUAACCUUUGCACUUUGGAACUUUUAAUUUUGACUUCUCAGAGUCAAUUUCCUGGGUGUCUCCGACACCUUACAUUGCACCUAUUGUGCAACUCCAGUUUCACAUCUUAUAAAGUUCUUUACCUGAGGGCAUCAUCAUCCUCUUUUCUAUUUUGUGCCACCUUUGGCACUAAGUUCCAGUUAUCAUAAUUUGUGCUAGGGCUAUCUACGGCCCUAUCAUUUAGUUGGAGCUUCCGCUUUCACCAAAUUGGAGCAAUUGAGAAUCCAUCCUUGGAAACACAUUGGCCUCCCCACAAUCCAUCAGCAUCCAACACAUUAGUGUUUUUAACUUAACUUUGCCAUUUGGGUUCUGUCCCAUGAUUCCCAUGGCUCUUGUCUUAGCCACUAGUCUUUUGCUUUUAUUUAUUGAUUAUUGCACUAAAUAACAUAAAAUCACUACUUUCAUCCUUGAGGUAUUCUUUUGAUUUCAUGGCAAAACCUCCACUUUGCCAAAUCCAGAGAGUGCUCACCCUUAGUAAGUCUCUUUAGUAUUUUCUGCUAUGGGCUCCAUCCAUGGCCUAACUCUGUGACCCUUCCAUGGGUCUCUCCUAGAGAUUAUUUUCUUUGAACUCAUUAUGCCAUUGCAUUCACAUAGCUCAUUUCCCUUAAGUGUUCUUCCCACUUGGUCACCUUGACCAAGCUACACCAUUAUCAUUAAUUCAAAUUAAUACUUUGAACUAGGAACCUUAUUCAUUACCUAAACAAGGACUUUGUCCUUAUUUAGACAUAAGAUCACUUAGUGAUCUCAUUUUGGCACCUUAACAAGUUUGUCAAUAGAUACUAGGUCUUUUAGACUUUUAAGUGUUUGACCAUGACCUCGAAGGCAUCCCCCAUACUUGGCGGUGUGCCCAAGCCAGCCCUUCCAGCCAAGGGUCCAUAGCAAUUGAGACUGGGUGUCCCCAUCUCAUUCACCACGUCCUUGGUGCCUCUUUCACCAAAGUGUUCAAAUUAAAUAUGCCAAACUUUCACUCUAAGCAAUCUAACCAUGUAUCACGACUCCCAGGCAUCCCCUGCUUGGCGGUGUGCCCAAGACAAUCUCCUCACUGAGAGUCCAUGACCACCGAAAUAUGAGUGUCCUCAUAUUCCAAACCAUCACCACGCCCUAGGACCCAAACCCAAGCACUAAAGGGUUGGGACUCGAACCCAACCUCCGUAUAUGCAUCUACGGAUGGCAUCACCUAGGAUGUCAGGCAUAACUCCCCACGCGGUACACCAAUUUAUACCUAAAGCGUGCUACAGAUCAAACUUUAGGAACAUAGUUCCUCUACAUUGCCAAGUCCUCUCACUUGACAAGUCUAUGAUCAUGUAUAGACUCUUUCAUACUUGGCCCUAUGGGCUGCCUUUUUUGAAGUUAGCACCUUCAACUAAGGUACUUGUUCCCCCAACUUGCUAACCUAGCUUAGUAAGUCAUCUGACUAUCGUAACAUGGUUCAUACAUAAGCGUGAAAGUCCUUAACCAUUGACUUUCGUUCAAAGCUAUCCCUUUGAACACUCAAGAAUUACUUCCCCUACCUUAUGGCAAGCUCUAAGACCACACUUCUGCUAUGCCACUCUGAUUUCGCGCAUUCUAUGAACCAUUUACAUUUGGUUUUCUAGGUACUAAACUACCUAGAAUUGUCUUUGGGCACAUUGAAGGAACUUUGUCCCUUAGUUUGCUAAGGCCUCUCUUUUCACAAGAUUUCUAAUUGCUAUAUAGUUUAACAUGGAUAAUUCUAUAUUUUAGACUCUCCAUGGCAUCACGAUUACUAGUAACAACACGUUUGAGCACCCUCUUAAUUCUCCACUCCCAACUUACAUAACCACCCUUGGUUAUGCCCUUUGAUUAAUAUGAUUCGGUUCUAUCCCUUUACUACUUGCUUUUGGCUUCACACAUUUCUUUCGGUUAUUCUCCUCCAGACUAAGAGAAUAGCUUUGCACUUUCUACCAUGCCUUAGCAAGUAUUCUUAGGGAUGAACUUACCUGAUAGCUUAGGGCGUGGUUCUUCAAUCCGGGUACGCUCACCUUGUAAUCCUACACACUGGGAUUAUUGUUGUUACUUAUGGGCCUUUAUAUGCCCAUCAUUAGCCUUGCCAAAAUUCCUUUUUGGCUUUGUCCAAUUCAGAUAGACAGACUACUCUUAUCUUCGCAACUUUGGACAUUGAAUAGCAUUUAUUACCCAUCAUUUGUUAAAGACUUAGUCCCUUGGGCUUUAUCUAAUGCCCUUAUAACACUAAAUACUACUUCUUAGUGUUUUAGAGCAUUUGGGUGUCCUAAUGAUGGCCUCUUUCAAUGAGCAUUCCCUUUAUAACAUUGACUUACUAUAUCGUAACAUAAGCAAUUUGUUCUCCAUAAGGGUAUAUCCAACUUCUUUAUCCCAAUAAAAAGUCUUAGAUAGUUACUUUCUGCCAAUUUAACCAAUUAUUUUGCACCUUUUGUUUAGUUGCCUCAUAGUGGUCAAGUCCUACAACUCAUUGUUGGUGCUUUCACACCUCCGUCAUUAUUUGGGUCACCAUACUCCAAUUGCAUUCUUUCCAGCUUAGGCUAUGCCAUUCCCAUUUCCACUAAGGUUCCUUUGGAAAGGAGUUCUUAUGAACUCGCCAAUUUAACCUUAAAGCAUCAUGCCUUGGCACAUUCAAUGUCUUCACACCAUCAGCUCCAUGAGCCUACCCUUAUGACACUUCUUACUUGUGUCUAAGUCUUUUCCAAAACUAAAACAGUUGUUUCUCAUACCAACUAUCUAUUAGUAUUGCACUAUAGAGUUUAUGCACAAUUUUGUGUCAAAGUUGUUUUCUUUUCUGGGGAACACCUUUCCCACGACUUUAGUAUAGCAUAUUCUACCAUCAAUGAGAUACCCACUGUUCUCAUACUUGGAUUUUAUGAUCCUCCCCAUCCUUCAUGGGGCACAAUACACCUCAAUCUAAAUGUUUUUACCAAUACCUUAGGACCAUUCCUUGACUUUACUUAAGUCAUCUAGCAUUUUUGGAUUUUGCUAAUCCAAUAACCUGUAAGGUUCUAUUUUUGAGGUGUCAGUUUGUUGAAAUACAACUUUGUGUAUUCAUGUACAAGGACCAUCUUUGCAAGUGUUGCUCUAACACUUGAUUAUUCCUCAUUUUCUAUAGGCUACUUUUGCUCCUUAGGACUAUCCAUCCAUAUGAUGAGAAUACCGACUCAUCUUCUGAGCACACCCCCAACUCCUUGGGUUUGUUCCAACAUUUAUAAAAGGUAACCCCGACUAUCAUUUCAAGGACUCAUGUCUUCAUCCAUAUUUGACCUCUCACGGUCAUUAAUUCCGGUCUCCAAUUCAUGAGCACCAGCCUCAACUAUAUGAGGAUAAUCUUGUGACUCAUUUAUUGUUUUGGAGUCCUUAUCUUUCUCGUGAUCCUAACUAUAGUUGUUUACGUCAAUUACAUUAAUCAAUUUGCUAAGUCAAAUGCUCAUCUAGAUCACAUCCUUAACUCUCUGAGAAAAACUUUAUACUGUUCCCAAGAUCCCAAAAUUAUUCCAUUAUUGGCCCUUUUCUAUCUACCACUUCAUCUACAAGUUCACACAUGAACUAUAGUGGAGAGCCAUGUCUUCCCGACUUACUACUCCCCAAGGAUAGGCCCACCCCUAGGACCUUCCGAUACCAACAUCAAUAAUGAUAUACUUGAGCAUCAAUAAAAGUCAAACUAAGGAACAACUCCGAUACCAAGUUGUAAGUGACUAAAUUUUCCAUUCUACUUUAAUCACUUAACCACACCUCCGACCACUUGGAAGAGUUUCACUCACAACCUCCAUAAGUCCUAUUUUGGACUUGGGGACUUGCUAGCCCCAAGAAUGGCAUCCAUACCACUCAACUAUUGCACUUGGUCCAAGUGCUCCACAUGUCUGAUCCCAUGACUGACACCUAAUGUACCAUCAACAUACCAGCCCGUUAUGCUAAGGCCAUACCCAUUCACCUUGGUCACACUGGUGGUUCAACACCACCUGCAUCACAGUCCCAUCUCUCAAAGACUGGGCCAUCUAUCCAUGAGUGACCAUCCUAGGUCCACUCAUUAACAUCUUUAAGAUGCCUGCAAACAUAGGGAACAGCCUUCCCCAAUAUCCAUUUUACAGUCCCCACCAAGUCCCUUUUUUGUCCAUGGCCGUGUUCACCAACACUGGCAUUGGGGCAAGGCCCACAAGCCCGACCACUAAGUCCCACUAUCCUCUAGGAUUUUCUCACCACAUGACCAUAUCCUUGGUCACUAUACCAAAGGACCAUUCCUCUUCCUUUCUAUAGUUUGGGAUUUUGGAACAACAUUUUGGAACACCGUGGCCCUAUGUGAGCUUCAUGGGUACUCUCCCUACCUUUUGCCUUUGGGUGCUUUAGCCAUGGGCUUAGAGCAAGGUUUUGUUGAGCCACACUAGGUAUCCAAGUAGGUAAUGCCACCCACACUUGGAUUAGGAGCAUUGGCCAUCGAUCUCCCGAGGGAACUAGAGCCGGCUCUUGAACACUUCACCAAGCUACCUUAUUUGUCGAUCUGUAUUCACUUUAGCUUUGGACAUCUCAAUGGUUAUCCCAUCACCCAACACCUAAGUACGGCCUUCUUGGGCCAAAUUGGCCUUUCCUAGCCAAACUGGUUCCACUAGAGUCCUCCCCCUACUAUACUUUUGGAGCUCACCAAGCCCCCCAAGGUCUGGGAGACAAAUGCUUUGGGCUUUCACCCUUGGACUCGAACUUGAACUCAGACUUAGACUUGGACUCGGGCUCAGUCUCGGCCUCAGCCUCAGUCUUGCUCUCGGUCUCAGUCCCACUCUUGUUCUCGGUCUCAAUCUCGGUCUUGACCUUGGACUUUAUCUCGGGUCCUUCUUGGACUCCAUCUUGGGUCCAUCUCGGACUCCAUCUCGGUCCAUCUCAGACUCCAUCUUGAGUCCAUCUUGGACUCCAUCUCCGGUCCAUCUCGGACUCCAUCUUGAGUCCAUCUUGAACUCCAUCUCAGACUCCAUUUCGGGUCUAUCUCGGACUCCAUCUUGGACUCUAUCUCAGACUCCAUCUUGGGUCCAUCUCAGACUCCAUCUCAGACUCCAUCUUGAGUCCAUCUCAGACUCCAUCUUGAGUCCAUCUCAAACUCCAUUUUGAACUCAACCACGUAUCAUGUGUUAGUCCUCUUAUGUCCCUUUUCUAGAGACUCUUUUAUUGCUCGCUUUGUGCUUGUUCCUCGAACACUUCAUUGGGAGUUCCACUCCUGCUCUUGACUUUUCAAGUCGAAGCUUUUAGUCCAAAUGUGUUAUGCUUGUUUGGCUUUCUCUUUGGCCACUACCACAUGGCACUCUUUCAACUCCACUUUGGGGCUUAGGGAUUUGUGUCUCACACUAGUUUGGCCAAGAAAGGCCAAUGUGACCUAAGAAGGCUAUGUUCACAUGUUGGGUAAUGAUAUAUCCAUUAAAGAGUCCAAGGCUAGAGUGAAUACAGAUUAACAAGUGGGGUAGCUUGGUGAAGUGUUCAAGAGCUCGCUUUAGUUCCCCUGGGAGAUCGAAUGGUCAAUAUUCCUAAUCCAACCAUGGGUGGCACUACCUACUUGUAUACCUGAUAUGCUCAACGGAACCUCGCUCUAGCCCCAUGGCUAGAGCACCCAAAGGUGGAAGGUGGGGAGAGUACCCAUAAGGUUUGCGUAGAGUCAUUAUUCUGAAAUGUUGUCCCAAAGUCCCGAACUGUGAAAAGGAAUCCUCUUGCGUAGUGACCAAGGAUACAGUCACAUGUGGAGGAAGUCCUAGAGGACUAUAGGACUUAAUGGUUAGGCUUAUGAGCCUUAACCCAAUGGCAAUGUUGGCGAACACGACUAUGGACAAAAAAAGACUUGGUGAGGACUGAAAAAAGAAUAUUGGGGAAGGCUAUUCCCCAUGUCUACGGGUCUAAGGAUGUUAAAGAGUGGAUCUAGAAUGAUUACUUAUGGACAAAUGGCUUAAUUUUUGAGAGACGAGACUGUGAUGUAAGUGGUGUUCGAUCACCAUGUGACAAAGGUGAAUGGGCAUGGCUUUAGCAUAACGGGCUGAUAUAUUAAUAGUACCUUUGGGUGUUGGUCAUAAGAUUGAACACGUGGAGCACUUGGAUUAAGUGUAAAGGUUGAGUGGCAUAAAUGCCAUUCUUGGGGCUAGCAAGUCCCUAAGUCUGGAAUAAGACUUAUGGAGGUUGUGAGUGAGUGUCGCAAAUGUGACUUCAGGUAUCGAAAGUUACCUGUCGGCUAGUCCUUUCUGAUAUUCUUUCCUUACUACCACGACGGCAGGAGGUCGAUAUUACUAGACUCAUUAUCAAUCUCCACCUGAGCUAGUUGAGAAACUGGUCAUCACAUGUGCACUUAGACCGGAAGGGCACUAAGGAAGGAAAUCCUAAGUUGUCAUUUGUCAAGCAGACUUGACACAGUGAUGAGAAACUUAUGAUGUUGACUUGCACUUGCUAGUGUUGGGAACCCCUGCGAUAUUGAGCUUGGUCCCUCAAUAUCGCUAGAUGAUAGCUUACCGUGUCUGCCAAACACCCUCGCUAUCAUGCCCUUAGCGUUAGUCUCAAUUCGGUCCCAAAUGUUAUUUAUGGAAAGUGUCCAGAUUUGCUCAUUUGGCAUAUCUACGGAAUGUAGAAAUCGGCCUGAACACACUAGUGUUCAUCCCAUGUCCAAAUUCGCAAUCUAACGCCAUUCCAUAUUUAGUAGAUUUCGAGCUUGUCCCAGAGACUAACUCCUGAUACUAAGGGAGGCUUGGGGUGAAAGCCCAAAGCGUGUGUUCCUUAAGGGGGGGGGGAGGCUGUGGGGGGUUCCAAAUGUAUAGUAGGGAUAGUGGGUAAGUCGGGCAUGGCCGACCAACCUGAGGCAUAGUUUAGCUCCCGCUUGGGUGCUUGUCCUUGUUCUGCGUUUGGCUUGGGUCUAAGCCCAAGUUCUAUUCCAUGCUAGAUGGUGGAGUACCCAUAUUCUCACGUUAAGCCACCGGUAUGCCGAAAUAGUGCCAAACUUCGUUUAACUCCAUUUUGCGUGCUAGUCCUGGCAUUGGGAUGCUGGUUGCUCCAGGACUGUUCCAAGUCACUCCGGCCUCCUGUCCCUUUGCUCCUUGAGCUGUAUGCUCGAGAGUUGCUCCAUGGUUCAAUUUCGUCACUCCUUGGCUCCAUGCUUAGGAGUUUGGCACUGUUCCUUUGUUCAAUGGCCCAAGGCCCUAAGCCUCGGGUUCCACACCGUGUUCCUUUGGACACGUGGCAUCUAUCACGUGGCACAAAGAGGGUUUAGGUUCCACUUCGUGGUGUUAUCCUAUGGUAAAUCACCAUAGGAUAAAGGGUCAAAACCACGUGUGCUACAUUUGGUAUCAGAGGAUGAGUCUCAGCGAGUACUAUCCAAUGAGAUUGGGCAACUAGUCUUGUUACAUACGCAGAGAUGAAAAUGAUGAUCCGAGUGGGUACACGUUUGGAUACUAAGAUUUCACAUUCGUUUCCUUGGGUAUGGAUUUUGGUUACCUUUUUGUACCACAUUGUAUGAGCUUGUUGUUGGGCUCAUAAGAGGGAUUGCGUUGUUCCGUUUGCACGAGUUUGCACUUGGGCUUGUGAGUGAGGCACAUUAGCAACUCAAGGUUGCACUUUGAGUUGACAGGAUUAAUGUAAGCCUAUCGGUGGUUCCAUGAAUUGUUCCAGUGGUUCCAUGAGUUGUUCCAUGUACCAUGGGUGAAAGUAAACCUUUCCUGGGUUUGCUAUGAGUGGCAAAUAGGCUAGUUCAUAGCUAUUUAGCAUGGCACUAGUGGAUCCUUCCUAGGCAUGAUUAUGAGUGGAUCAAUCAAGACUGUAGGGAUUGGUCUAUUGGUUCAAAUAAUCAUUGCCAUGCUCUCUCAUAAAUUUUUCUUUUAUUGGACUGAAGGUAGUGCAAAAGCAAGCUUGAGGUUUAGUCAAAGAUGAGACCGAAAAGAGAGUCGUCAGGGAUAAAGGAUCAAACACGUAAAUCAUCUUCUCUUCUUGAAGAGAUGAUUUGCAAUGAAGAGUGACUCAUUGCUCGUGUUCACAAUAUGCAAUCAAGAGUCCUUACCUUGAUGCAUGUUGGUUAUGAUGGUCUUACAAAUGAUGAGUGGGAUGGAUAGUAGUGAAGCGCUAUACCAUUUUGUCUAGGCUUGCUAUUGGAAGACUUGGGUUACAAUGCUCAAUUUUUUUUCGGGGAACCCUGCUAUUGCUCCUUGAGUAGCUUGGUGUUAGAUUAAUUUUGAGUUUGGUUGGAAAGAGAGUGGCAUGAGCUUGUACAUGUAGUUAGUGGUGUUAAGUGUUGUAAAUCUCUAUCGAUAAGGUGUGGCUUUUAUGUAGCAUUUUGUCGAAUUGAGUUAGCACUUGAUAUUCAUAUAAACCUUUGAAGUAAUGACAUGGGUGUUGCUCGUGGUGUUGCUCAAUUGAUGAUCAAUUCGUUGUGAUACUUAUAUCAUAUCCAUGUGAUAAUGAGCAAUGUGUUUACGAAGUUGCUUGGGUAAAUGAUGAUCAACCCCAAAGUGGUUGAUGGUGAAGCUAGUCUACUUGCACAAAGUAGCAUUGUAGUAGCUUUGACUGAAUUCUCGAUGAUGAUCCAUUAUGCUAAGCUUAAGUUGGUUCCUUGUUCCUUGAGGGUUUGCCCAUAAGGUGUUGGAAAGGGUUAUAGGAUUUACUUGCUAUGGCUUGUUGGUUUAUCUGUUAACACUUGGAGUAGAUUGUUAGAUGGAAAAAAUGUGUAGUUGAGGCAUUGACAUUACUAACACUUAUGUUAGUAGAAGUGGCAUUGUUAUUUCGAGUGAUGAGAAAUUUUCCUUAGACCUUGAUUUUUCAUGUCAUUUUUCUUGUUAGUGUUUUGGCUUCACAUUAGAUCUUGAAAGUGGUUAAAGAAAAGUGUUAGUGCAAUGUGGAUAUCCGAAGAUGUGGUCUUUGUGAUCAAGCCUUGGAUGUUCACUUUGCAUUUUGCAGAUGUCAGUGUUGGAUGUCGGAAGUAUAGGCAAAAAGAUGUUUGAAGCUUAAGCAUACUAUGAUGUCAGUGUUGGAUGUCGGAAGUAUAGGCAAAAAAAUGUUUGAAGUUUAAGCAUACUAUGGGUCAUGAGAAUUAGUGUUGAAGUGAACCUAUGUGAAAUUGUAGAUGUAAGGUCCUGAGUUUGGACUUCCUGGGAGGUCACCCAGCCCAGUACUAUUCAAACCCAAGGACGCUUAACCCUAAGUAUCCCAAGACCCUUAACCGAUUGGAAAAGAGGGUGCACUCUUGUUCAUGGGCCCUUUCCCUUUAUAUUUGAAACCCUAUGGAUCGUCUCUCGAAUUGUUCCCUUUGAUUGCUUACAGUAAGUAGGAAGAAGUUGGUUGAGUUUUGAAAGCUUGCAUUCUUGGACUGAAAGUCAUUCUUUCUCUAAGAUGGAAAUUUUCCACAAAUUUUCUUAGACUUUUCCAAUGGCUGAUCUAUUGAUCAUUUUUAUCGAAAACCAUUUCAUUUUCGUAAGCCAAUACAAAGUAGUGAAGGGGUUAGAGUUGACUUCGAUUAGCUUAGACCUUAGUAAGUUUGUAUGAUGCGGCCCGAAAGGGAUGCUAACUUUUGGGGCUAAAGCAAGAAUUUUGUUGGAUGGUGAAUCUUAUGUUUUCCAAUGAUUGUGAUCUUGGUGGUUCCUAUACUGUAAUAUUAGUUUAUCGGAUGGUAACUUACUUGGAAUAAUUUUGUGUUCUAAUCUAAGCUUUUUUCACUAAUAAUUAAGUCUUUAAGAUAUCAUUGUUUAUGACUUUGAUAUUGUCCAUCUAUUGAUCUUUGAAGUUUUGGCCAAUACAGGCAAACUGGCUUUGGCACUUCGUAUGUAUGGUGAAAUCUUUAGUCAUGGGGUAGCUACUAUCGACUGGUCACAUCACCCGCCUCUCUGUCCAUGUUCCUUAUUCCGUUAAAAGGGCGUGACUGUGUAAACAACUCUUAUUGCCUGUUUACAGUAGUUUACCUAAACUUUACCGACGGGUUUGGUUUCUUUACUCAGGAGGAUUGGGGCUUCUAGCUUCUCUCUCUAUGUUUUUGUGGGUAGGGGCAUAUCACACUUUUGUAAGCUGGGUGACUCCCAGAGCAGCAAGGGUGGCUGACUCCGUUGGUCAUUUCCUUGUCGGCGACGGCUGGAAGUGUCUGAGUUGGUAGCACAUCCGCAUUAGACAAAGAGGUUACCCCCUAACUCAUUUAAUUUGGUGCAUUUCUCACAUAGUGUGAGUACCGUGAACUUUUUUCUGGAGUUCUUUCCUUGGCGGUAUUCUAGAUUGGAGUAUGCAUUGACAAGGAUGUCGAUCUUUGCAAGGGGGGGAGAGUGUCGCAAAUGUGAUUUCAGGUAUCGAAAGUUACCUGUCGGCUAGUCCUUUCGGAUAUUCUUUCCUUACUCCCACAAUGGCAGGAGGUCGGUAUUGUUGGACUCGUUAUCAGUCUUCACCUAAGCUAGUUGAGAAACUGGUCAUCACAUGUGCACUUAGACCGGAAGGGCACUAAGGAAGGAAAUCCUAAGUUGUCAUUUGUCAAGCAGACUUGACACGGUGAUGAGAAACUCAUGAUGUUGACUUGCACUUGCUAGUGUUGGGAACCCCCGCGAUAUUGAGCUUGGUCCCUCAAUAUCGCUAAAUGAUAGCUUACCGUGUCUGCCAAACACCCUCGCUAUCAUGCCCUUAGCGUUAAUCUCAAUUCGGUCUCAAAUGCUAUUUUGUAAGCGACUAAAUUUUCCAUUCUACUUUAGUCACUUAACCACACCUCCGACCACUUGAAGGAGUCUCAUUCACAACCUCCAUCAGUCCAAUUUAGGACUUGGGACUUGCUGUCAAGACCCCCAACAAGAUCAAGACUGGAAAAUGCUAAAGACAAAGAGAAAAAGCUAGUGAAAACAAAGAAAAGGCCUUAGACUGGUGUUGAUUCAGAUUGUGGAGAAAGGGAACAAGGCUAACCUAUAUAUACUAUAGGUUGAUGAAGCUCCACCACUCUUGGAUCGAGGACGGCCUAAAUACAGCUGAGGUCGAGGAGGCGCCACAUCAUCAUCAGGAAUGUGGCUCGAGACUCAGGAAUCGAGAAGUGUCUCGAGACUCAGGAAUCGGGAAGUGUCUCGAGAGUCAGGAAUAGGGAAGUGUCUCGAGAGUCAGGAAUGUGGUCUACAGGUCAGGAAUCCGGCGAGAGUCAGGAAUGUGGCAAGAAUUGGGGGAUUCCUGACAGCACCCCCUCCUCAAGAACGAGUGGAACGAGGAUGUGAACGAGAACGAAGAGGAGGAUGAGAUGAGCGGCGAGGGAUGGGAGAGGGAGAAAAGAAAUGAGGACUGGGACGAGAAGGAUAGCGGCAGUGGAAGUCCUGAACAAGGUCAGGAGAAUGAAUCAGGUUGUCCGCAGGUUCCCAAGUGCGUUCCUCAGGUCCGUAACCCUUCCAGUCCACUAGAUAGUAGAGUUUAGACCGUGAAAUCUUUGAAUCAAGGAUGUCCUGAACCUCGUACUCAGACCCAUCCUCGAGCUGCACUGGUGGAGGCGGAGGAAUGACCCGAUUUGGAAUAGGACUGGGAAUAUAAGGCUCAAAGAGAGAGGAGUAAAAAACGGGGUGAAUUUGAUAUGAGGAGGGAAGUGCAAGGCGAUAAGUGACAGGAUUAAUGAUGGCAGUGAUAGGGAAAGGACCAAGGCGUUUGAAAUCGAGUUUUGGACAGGGCUUGGUGGUGGAGAUAUUUCGCUUGAGGAGCCAGACUUUAUCCCCGAUAUUGUAAGGGGGACAAUCCUGACGAUGGACAUUGGCAAAUGUUUUAUGAGAUUCCUGAGCACGAUGGAGGUGGAAGGAGAUGGAGUUGUGGAUUUCCUGGAGGUUGGAGAUAAAUGCCUUAGAGCGGGGAUUUGAACGAGAGGAUUCAUAUGGAGAAGGAAGUGAGAGAUUGAAUCGGGGAUUUCGGCCAGAGUUCGCAAAGAAGGGGGAAACUCGAAGAGAGGAGUGAACAGAGUUGUUAUAGGAAAACUCAGCAAGGGGAAGGAUAUCAAACCAGUUAUCCUGAUGAUAGUUGAUGAAGCACCUCAAGAAUUGUUCCAACGUCUGAAUCGUUCGCUCAGACUGCCCAUCAGUUUGAGGAUGAUAUGCCGAAGAGAGGUUGGCCUUCACUCCAAGCAGCUGCAAAAACCGUUGCCAAAAAUGAGAGAUGAACUGAGGCCCCCGAUCCGAAACCACAUCUGUAGGAAUCCCAUGAAGUCGGAAAAUUUCCCUGAAUACCAGUUUUGCCAUGUCCUCGCCCGAAAACUCCUUGGUACAUGGCAAGAAGUGCGCCAUCUUUGUGAAGCGAUCCACCACGACUAAAAUGCUGUUGAAGCCUCCAGAACUCGGAAGAUCACUCAAGAAAUCCAUGGAGAUGGAUUCCCAAGGACCUGAAGGGACCGGAAGGGAAUGAAGCAAACCUGAAGGAAGGUGGCGAGGUACCUUAUUCCGGGCACAAGUGUCACAGGAGGUAACAAAAGCUUUGAUGUAGUCGUCCAUGUGAGGCCACCAAAAGUCCCGUGCAACUAGCUCAUAGGUUUUUGCAAUGCCGAAGUGACCAGCAGUCGGGCUAUCAUGGCACGCCAUCAGGACCAACCUUCGAGCAUCACCUUCAGGAACGUAAAGCUGCUCCCCACGGUACAAUAAGCCAUCGAAGAACUCGAACUCGUCAAAUCGCCGGCAGUCGGGAGUCACUGGGUGUCCAGCCUGAAGAUGGGGGAAAAUGUCGCUAGCGAGAUCAUCGGAUUGAAGAUCGUUUCUGAUUGCAUCCAUCAAGGAGGAGUCCUGAGGGGCCAGGGAAAUUGCCAUAACUUGAAGCCGAUCAGGACCGAGGAUAACUUGAUCCUGUUGAUCGAAGGCAGGAUUACCAGGCCUGAGACUGAGAUAGGAGCGCCUUGAAAGAGCAUCAGGAAGGCCUUGAAACUUUCCAGGUCUGUACUUGAUAACAAAGUCAAACCGACUCAGGAAUUGUGCCCACCUUGCUUGACGACGGCUUAAAACUCGGGAAGUGGCAAAGUACUCAAGAUUUUUGUGAUCCGUCCAGACUGUUGUUUGAUGGCUCGCCCCCUCCAAGAAACGGCGCCACUCUCCAAAGGAAUCCACGAUGGCAAGGAGCUCCUUGUCGUGGAUUUCGUAAUUGAUCUCCGCAGGCUGGAAUUUCCGAGAAUGGAAAGCGACCGGAUGAAGUUCGUGAUCCGCUCCGAGUUGAGACAGCAUAGCACCAAUGGCAAAGUCGGAGGCGUCAGCCUCGAUGAAGAAAGGUUGUGAGGAAUCAGCAUGGAUCAAGACAGGAGCAGAACUGAAGGCUGCCUUGAGUGUGUCGAAGGCCUGCUGGGCAGCAGCAGACCAAGAGAAGGGAACAUCCUUGCGAGUGAGAUGUGUGAGAGGAAGGACAAUGUCAGAGUAGUGAUCAAUGAAUUUGCGGUAGAAGUUGGCGAAGCCAAGGAAAACCUGAACGUCCGACAUUGAUUGUGGAGGCUCCCAUUCGAGAAUAGUCUUGACUUUAGCAGGAUCCCAUCGUGAUACCCUCAGGAGUGACAAUGUACCCAAGGAACUCCACAGACUGCUGAUCAAAGGAACAUUUCUCAAGCUUCGCGUAUAGACCGUGUUCUCGCAGCUUCGCUAGCACCUUGCGAACAUGUUCGUCAUGCUCCUCCUGAGUUUUUGAGUAGAUGAGGAUGUCAUCGAGGUAGACGAUCACCAUCUGAUCAAGAAACUCCCGAAAAACGUCGUUCGCCAUGUGUUGGAAAACUGCUGGAGCAUUUGUCAAGCCAAAUGGCAUGACAGUGUACUCGAAGUGGCCAUAGCGGGUUUGGAACGCAAUCUUCCAUUCAUCACCAGACUGGAUCCAGAUCAGGUUGUAUGCUCCACGGAGGUCGAUCUUGGUGAAGAAGCGGGCACCACCGAGGCGUUCCAACAGGUCUGAGAUCAAGGGCAGCGGAUAAUGGUUCCGAACAGUCACCUUAUUCAAACCUCGAUAGUCGAUGACUAGCCGCAAGCUCCCAUCCUUCUUCUUGACAAAGAAGACAGGCGCUUCAGCCGGGGACUGCGAAUGCUGAAUGUAGCCCGAGGCAAGGUUCUCAUCCACGUACUCUUUGAGGGCCUUAAGCUCGGACGGGGAUAACCCGUAGAUAGGCCCCCACGGAGGUGACGCUCCUUCCUGUAAAUCAAUGGGACAAUCAUAAGGCCGAUGAACAGGCAGUACACUAGCUUUUUUCUUGUCAAACACAUCCCCAAAAUCAUGAUACUUCUCAAGAAGACUGAUAGGAGAAACAUGCAAAGCAAAAAGAAAAAGAGGUUCUUCAUGAAGGAGUUCUUUCAUAGUGAUUGUGGAGAUAGGAGAAGGGGUAUGACUAAAUGGAAUGACGAGACGAGGAUACUGUCCAGUGUAAGAUGGAAGGGAGGAAAAAGAAGAGGAUGAAAACUUUGUAGAGUCAGGAACAGAACCCCGACUUGAGUUUAGGGAACUUUUCCUGAUUCGGACUCGAUGAACACCAGGGGAAGCCGUGGGAGAUGGUGAUGGGGGAGAGAUGAGCUGUAAGUCCUUCCAACAAAUCUGAGGCUGAUGUAGUUGGAACCAAGGAAGACCGAGCACCACAGAGGAGGACUUGCUGUUGAUGAUGUUGAAGGCGAUAUCGGUGACGGUGGACCCGAUGUGUACUCGAACGGGCAACGUUUCCCUAAGUCCAGAAGAUGGAGACACAAAAUGCCCGCCGAUGCCUUCAACCCUCAGAUCCCGUAUGGUAGGAGAAAGAGGAACGUGAUGUCGGGCAGCAAAGUCCGUGUCCAUGAAGCAGGAAGUUGCACCCGAGUCCAGUAGCGCCAAAGCCUUGAGUCCUGAUUGUCCGGUGAAAGAAAGGAGACAUGGGACACGGAAGUUGCGGGAAUUGGUGGUGGCUUUGAUGAAAGGUGGUGAGGAGCUUGAUAAGGAAGAAAAGUGAUUUUUAUUUGGGGAGUCCAAACAGACAGCUCCUACUCUGUUUGGACAGGGUCGUUUCCCGACUGCAACAGAAGUGGACUUUGAGGCAGAGUGAACUCGAGCAAUCGGGGAGGCUUCCUGGGACACACAGCUGCUUUGUGAGUAGGAUCAGCACAGUAGAGGCAAAGAUUAUGAGAUAUUCAACAUUGCCUCUCAGUAGGACUCAACUUCCCUCUAAUGAGUCGGGGAGUACCAGAAACAUCCAUCGGGACCGGAGCAGUAGGUUCAGGACUAUGCCCCGAAGACUCAAGCUGGGAUUCCUGAGUCUGGGACGGAAAAACAGCGGCGCGGCGACUUUCCUGACGACGUUCAAAGAGACGAUUGUCACAUCGAACAGCUUUGUUGAUGGCGUCCGACAGGUCCUUGGGAUCCUCCAUGGUGAGCAACAAAUCCUUGACACCGUUGUUGAGGCCAAAACGAAAUUGGUCAAUCAGAGCCCGCUCAUCCCACUGAGUGUCCAAGGCAAGGAGUUGGAACUCUGCAGCGUAGAUCAAGGCAGGACGAGACCCCUGAGAGAGACGUCUCAUCUUUGUGGUAGCAGCCCGAACCCGAUCCGUCUCGCCAAAACAUGCUUCGAGCUUCUCUUUGAACAAUUGAAGAUCCAUUAGCUCCGGAACCACGACCCCUUUCAUGCUCUUCUCCAGAAGAGGAGAAAACCAUGACAAAGCUGCACCCUCGAGCAACGUCCCAAUCGCGCCGAUUUGAGACUCAGGAGUGGGGUACCGCCGAUGUUGAAGUGCAAAGAUCAGCUCCAUUUGGUUCAAAAAUCCACGAAGCUCCGAACGCUUGCCUGAAAAUUUCGCCGGGAAACUCACCUUCGGUUCAGGAACUUUGCUGGAUCCUUGAGCCGAAAGUGAAGCAAGCUCCUGCUGCAUGCGAAGAAGGGUCGCCUUCAGCUCGGUAUUCUCAGACUGGAUUUUUGCAAGGACUUCGGCAAAGAAAUCAGGAUGGCUUGGAGACUCCAUUGGCAAGAAGAAAGAAAAGAAAAGGGGGAAAAAGACAAAGGCAAUCAAAUAAUCAAAACGAGCUAAAAGAAAAGCAAAAAACACAAUCUGAAUCAAACUGUCAAGACCCCCAACAAGAUCAAGACUGGAAAAUGCUAAAGACAAAGAGAAAAAGCUAGUGAAAACAAAGAAAAGGCCUUAGACUGGUGUUGAUUCAGAUUGUGGAGAAAGGGAACAAGGCUAACCUAUAUAUACUAUAGGUUGAUGAAGCUCCACCACUCUUGGAUCGAGGACGGCCUAAAUACAGCUGAGGUCGAGGAGGCGCCACAUCAUCAUCAGGAAUGUGGCUCGAGACUCAGGAAUCGAGAGGUGUCUCGAGACUCAGGAAUCGGGAAGUGUCUCGAGAGUCAGGAAUAGGGAAGUGUCUCGAGAGUCAGGAAUGUGGUCUGCAGGUCAGGAAUCCGGCGAGAGUCAGGAAUGUGGCAAGAAUUGGGGGAUUCCUGACAUUUGCUAGCCCCAAGAAUGGCAUCCAUGCCACUCAACACUUGCACCUGGUCCAAGUGCUCCUCGUGUCCGGUCCCAAGACCGACACCCAAAGGUACCACUGACAUCUCGGCCCGUUACGCUAAGGCCAUGCCCAUUCACCUCUGCUGCACUAGUGGUCCAAUACCACUUGCAUCACAAUCCCGUCUCUCCAAGACUGGGCCAUCUGUCCACGAGUGGUCAUCCUAGAUCCACUCCUUAGCAUCCUUAGGAUGCCCACAGACCUGGGGAAUUGCCUUCCCCAAAGUCCUUUGCCAGUUCCUACCAAGUCCAUUUCUGCCCCUGGCCGUGUUUGCCAACACUGCCACUGGAUCGAGGCCCACAGGCCCGACCUCUAAGUCCCAUGGUCCUCUGGGACUUCCUCACCACACGACUGUGUCCUUGGUCACUACCCCAGAGGUCUGCUCCUCUUCCUUUCCACAGUCUAGGCCUUUGGGACAACAUUUCGGAACACCGUGGCCUUACGCGAGCCACCUGGGUACUCUACCCGCCUUUCGCCUUUAGGUGCUUUAGCCAUGGGCUUAGAGCGAGGUUCCAUUGAGCCACGCCUGGUAUCCAAGUAGGUAGUGCCACCCACACUUGGACUGGGAGCAUCGGCCAGUCGAUCUCCCGGGGGAACUAGAGCCGGCUCUUGAACACUUCACCAAGCUACCCCGCUUGUCGGUCCGUAUUCACUCUAGUCUUGGACUUCCCAGUGGUCAGUUCAUCACCCAACACUGGGUCUGGCCUUCCUGGGCCAAACUGGCCUUUCCUGGCCAAACUGGCUCCACUGCAGUCCUCCCCCUUACUAUACUUUUGGAGCUCACCAAACCCCCCAGGGUCUGGGAGACGAACGCUUUGGGCUUUCACCCUCUCAGACUCGAACUCGGACUCGGACUCGGACUCGGACUCGGACUCGGUCUCAACCUUGGCCUCGGCCUCGGUCUCGGUCCCGGUCCCGGUCUCGGUCUCGGUCCCGGUCUCGGUCUCGGUCUCGAUCCCGGUCUCGGCCUCCAUCUCGGACUCCGUCUCGGUCCAUCUCGGACUCCAUCUCGGGUCCAUCUCGGACUCCGUCUCGGUCCACCUCGGACUCCAUCUCGGACUCCAUCUCAGGUCCAUCUCGGACUCCAUCUCGGACUCCAUCUCGGGUCCAUCUCGGACUCCAUCUCGGACUCCAUCUCGGGUCCAUCUCGGACUCCGUCUCAGUCCACCUCGGACUCCACUUCGGGUCCAUCUCGGACUCCAUAUCGGACUCCAUCUCGGACUCAACUUCGGGUCCAUCUCGGACUCCAUAUCGGACUCCAUCUCGGGCUCCACUUCGGACUCCAUAUCGGACUCCAACUAGGGUCCGCCUCGCUUAUUGCUCGCUUCAUGCUUGUUCCUCGAGCACUUUGUUGGGAGUUCCCCUCCCGCUCUCAACCUUCCAAGUCGGAGCUUUUAGUCCAAACGUGUUACGCUCGUUUGGCUUUCGCUUCGGCCACUACCACAUGGCACCCUUCCGGCUCCACUUUGGGGCCUAGGGAUUUUGUGUCUCACAUAUUUAUGGAAAGUGUCUAGAUUUGCUUAUUUGGCAUAUCUACGAAAUGUAGAGAUCGGCCUGAACACACUAGUGUUCAUCCCGUGUCCAAAUUCGCAAUCUAACGCCAUUCCAUAUUUAGUAGAUUUUGAGCUUGUCCCAGAGACUAACUCCUGAUACUAAGGGAGGCUUGGGGUGAAAGCCCAAAGCGUGUGUUCCUUAAGGGGGGGGGAGGCUGUGGGGGGUUCCAAAUGUAUAGUAGGGAUAGUGGGUAAGUCGGGCAUGGCCGACCAACCUGAGGCAUAGUUUAGCUCCCGCUUGGGUGCUUGUCCUUGUUUUGCAUUUGGCUUGGGUCUAAGCCCAAGUUCUAUUCCAUGCUAGCUAGUGGAGUACCCAUAUCCUCACGUUAAGCCACCGGUAUGCCGAAAUAGCGCUAAACUCCGUUUAGCUCUAUUUUGCAUGCCAGUCCUGGCAUUGGGAUGCUGGUUGCUCCAGGACUGUUCCAAGUCGCUCCGGGCUCCUGUCCCUUCGCUCCUUGAGCUGUAUACUUGAGAGUUGCUCCAUGGUUCGGUUUCAUCACUCCUUGGCUCCAUGCAUGGGAGUUUGGCACCGUUCCUUCGUUCAGUGGCCUAAGGCCCUAAACCUCGGGUUCCACACCGUGUUCCUUUGGACACGUGGCAUCUGUCACGUGGCACAAAGAGGGUUUAGGUUCCUAUGGUAAAUCACAAUAGGAUAAAAGGUCAAAACCACGUGCGCUACAGUGAGACUCCUCUAAGUGGUCAAAGAUAUGGUUAAGUGAUUAAAAUAGAAUGGAAAAUUUAGUUGCUUAUAGUGAUAUAGCUAGCAAAAACAAAUGGCUUGAAAAAUAAACCUCUAUCUAAAGCUUGUUGGAAUGAUUUAGUCAUUUUUAUCCUUCAAUAGACCUUUAUACAUACUUAUAUAAAAUGCCAAGUUAUAAGAAAUGGACUAAAUCUUGAGGAUUUAGUGGAAUGCUUAUCUAUUAACAUUGAAAUUAUUAGAAGGAAGUGAUAAACAAGCAAGCCAAAUUAGCCAAUAGUUUUGCACUGUCCCAAGUAUGAGUAUAUUAUUAGAGAACGAGGAGGAUGAAUAAUUUUGAGCAACUAAGAUCUUAGGUGCUUCCAAGUUAAAGAACAAAAAAUUUAUAAAAUUGAGUGGGUUAUAUGACGACCUAGAGUAGGAUCUGUAGUCAAGUGUCUUAAUUGGAUUGGAGGAAAAAUAUGUGGUAAACAAAUUACCUUAGGAAUUUUAUGCGACAUGAUCUUCUAUAAUAUUAUGAUUAAUUUAUAUGGUUUUAUCCAAUAACUAUUCUUAAGAAAUUCUAAAAGUAAAAAACAACAAAUAUGUGAAAAUUACAAAUACUUAGUCAAAGGAAGCAAAGGCAAUAUACUCAAAAGCAUUACAAUUGAAGAUGGAAGUUAAUAUUGUCAGCAUUAAGUAAUAAUAUCAUUAUCACAAAUAUAUAGUUCUCAAUUAUGGAACUGAUACUCUAAACAGAAAGGUUUGCAACAUUAUAAUCAAUCAAUUCUUAAGUUGUACUUGCGUAUACUUCUUUCAAUAGUAGACUUCUAAUAAAUCUUUCAUCCUUUGUAAACAUAUAUAUUUUGUAUAUUGUAUGUUUCUUGGGAUGGAUUAAAACUCUACAAUAUCUAAACAUGAGAUGUUCAUGAUAUUGAGAAAUAAUUAGAUAUUGCUAUUGUAUUUGAAUUUCAUAUAUUAUAAAUAAGUUUUUAUUUAUAAAUUACAUCUAAAACAACAUAUCUUAUAAUAGGAAUUUUAUAGUAAAAAAAAAUUAAAUAUAAAUAUACAUUAUAAAUUAGAGGAUGCUAACUUAAAUAAUUAGUAUAAUACUAAUUAUUAAAUAUUAAAAAUAAUAUUUUCUUCUGUAAACUAGUUAAUAAAGCAAAAUGUCUAUUAAAUAGCAACUAUUGCCACUAACUGGAAGUUUAUACAGAUCUAAAUAUUUAAAAUGAUUAUUUUAGUUUAAAAUACUAAAACCUUAAAAAAAUAUUCUUUAUUGUGCUAAAAUAUUUUUAAGAUAUUCUUGUCAACUCCAGCGGAUUGUCCGUUUGGACCAUGACGAGCAGUUGAUUCGCCGAAUAUUUUCUAUAUAGCUCCCACACACACAACGACGCGAUAAAAGUCUUCUGGGGGUGUUCCAGACAGUGGAGCGCUGUUAUAAGGUAUAGCUUGAGCACUUAGAAAUCUCUAGCUCCCAUGGCCACCAUGAAUGGAUCGCCCAAGAUCGAUCCAGACGCCCUCGUCGAUGCCUGGCUCACGAGAUUGGAUUCCUCUCUCGCCUCCGGCGACCCAUCGGCCGCUGCCAAUCUCUUCGAGGAAUCCACUUCUUUCUGGCGAGAUCUCAUCGCGUUCACCUGGAACAUCGUCACGGUCGAGGGCCGGUCACAGAUCCACUCCAUGCUCGAAUCUACGCUCGAAUCGGUCGCGCCCAAGGGUUGGACCCGCCACGGUACCGCCAACUACAGCGCGGACUCGGGCGUCAUCGAGGCCUGGAUCAAGUUCGAGACGCGCGUCGCGGUAUGUACGGGGCAUUUGCGCCUAGUGGCCACUACUUCCCUCUGCCGUACGCUACUCACCGCCAUGGAGGGGCUCAGGGAUUUCCCAGAGAAGAAGGGCCGUACGCGGCCCAACGGUGUGACGCACGGCGUCAUACGGCACCGCGCGUCAUGGCUGGACGGGCGCAAGGAAGAUGAGCGGACGCUGGGCAGUACCGUGCAGCCCUAUUGCGUCAUUGUCGGGGGCGGGCAGGCGGGUAUCGGGCUUGCCGCGCGGCUCCGGCAGCUCGGCGUGCCGUGCAUUGUUGUAGAGAAGAACCCGCGGCCGGGCGAUUCCUGGAGGAACCGCUACAAAUCGCUGUGCCUCCACGAUCCGGUGUGGUAUGAUCAUCUCCCCUAUUUGCCAUUCCCGGAGAAUUGGCCGAUCUUCGCGCCCAAGGACAAGAUGGGAGAUUGGCUGGAGGCGUACACCAAGAUCAUGGAGAUCAACUACUGGACCUCCAGCGAGUGCCUGGGAGCUCGAUUGGAUCCACAGUCCGGAGAGUGGGAGGUGAAGAUCCUGCGAGAUGGGAGCAAGGAGGUAACCUUGCGACCCAAGCAGCUCAUCCUGGCGACCGGGAUGUCAGGAUUUCCCAAUGUGCCACGGGUUCCCGGGCAGGAGGAAUUCGUGGGCGAUCUCCAUCACUCGAGCAAGCAUCCGGGAGGCGAAGCUUACAAGGGGAAGAGAGCGGUGAUCCUGGGAUCCAACAAUUCGGCCCACGACAUCGCCGCCGAUCUCUGGGAGAAUGGCGCCGCGGAGGUGACGAUGAUCCAGCGAUCCUCCAGUCACGUUGUUCGAUCGGAGUCGCUUUUCCGCUUCCUGACGCAGGAGAUCUACUCGGAAUCGGCGGUAGAGUCGGGGAUCACGACUGACAAGGCCGACAUGAUCUUCGCGAGCUUGCCAUACAAGAUCAUGGGCGAUGCCCAGCGAUGCAAUUCCGAUGCGAUCCGAGCCCACGACAAGGAUUUCUACGCCGCGCUCACCAAGACUGGAUUCAUGCUCGACUUUGGCGACGACGACUCGGGGCUCUUCAUGAAGUACCUCCGCCGUGGAUCCGGCUACUACAUCGACGUGGGCGCAUCCCAGCUGUUGAUCGACGGCGAGAUCAAGCUACGCAGUGGCGUCACCAUCGCGUCGCUCAAGCCGAGCUCGGU